rnacentral:lncRNA from 1 species
UUGUAGGAGACUGGAUGGUGGUUGAAGGUCCCCUUGCAGGAACCCAGUCUUCGUCCCAUGAUGGGCUGCAUUUUGUAAUAUGCUGAGAAUUUGCACUUGUUUUAUUCACUUGUCUUUGUUNNNNNNNNNNNNNNNNNNNNNNNNNNNNNNNNNNNNNNNNNNNNNNNNNNNNNNNNNNNNNNNNNNNNNNNNNNNNNNNNNNNNNNNNNNNNNNNNNNNNNNNNNNNNNNNNNNNNNNNNNNNNNNNNNNNNNNNNNNNNNNNNNNNNNNNNNNNNNNNNNNNNNNNNNNNNNNNNNNNNNNNNNNNNNNNNNNNNNNNNNNNNNNNNNNNNNNNNNNNNNNNNNNNNNNNNNNNNNNNNNNNNNNNNNNNNNNNNNNNNNNNNNNNNNNNNNNNNNNNNNNNNNNNNNNNNNNNNNNNNNNNNNNNNNNNNNNNNNNNNNNNNNNNNNNNNNNNNNNNNNNNNNNNNNNNNNNNNNNNNNNNGGGGGGGGGAGUGGGAGUAUUAGCGGCUGAUCGUAAAUGUAAUACCUGAGAAUAUCCUUCACAAAAGCCAUAUAUUUUGCAAACUGCUGAACAUUUAAUUGUUGAGCAAUGAGAAGCGGCAUAAGAAGUGGAAGGACAUGCUCUGCCACAAAUUCUAUCCCAUUCUGAGGGAAAACAAAUUAGGUAAAAGCAAAGCAGUCAGUUAGAUGCUAUUGGUGUAAGCACCAGCAAUCAAGUUGGCCAAGAUAGCAUAUACCUUCUUCAAGAUAGAGUUGGCUACCCCAAGGGUACACAUAAGAGUUGGUGCAGAACGAUCAACUGCAGUACAACGUUUGAUUGUCUGUAAGAUCUCUAGAACAGCAGGCUUGUCUAGCGUGUGAACCAUAUCCCCCAAACAUAACAAUGCAUUGACCCUCACCUGAAAAGAGAAAAAGAAUUAUUGCGUGUCUAUUAAUGUUCAACUUGGUCAACCAACCAAAAAGAAGGGCCUAGCUUAUCAACAAUCAGGUACACUGGAAAACGAACUUAUGUAUCAAAAAGAAUGAUUAGGUAUGUUCACAAGGUUAAAAACAAAUGUGACCCAAAAAAUUAAGGGAUAUUGACGUGCCAAAGCAAUUUUCAUCCUACCAAAACAAGCAGUCCUUUCUGUGAAAGGAUGAAAUUUACGAUGAAAAUAUCAAUUGCCCAAUAUUCAGGAGUUUGUGAUGGUUCAAUUCACAGUCACAAUUCACGAGACUUUUGAGUAACUCAUGCAAUAACAUUCCUGCACAGAAUAAUGAAUACGUACCGCAGCAACAGUUGUUUUCAGUGCCAAACCAUGAACACGAGGCAUGAUUGCCUGUUUUACUAACUGCAAAAAAAAAUAAAAAAUAAGCAUUUUCAAAUUCAAAUAUAAAUCAAUUCCUAGUCUAAUAGCAGUGAUACUAGUUCUCCAGAACUUAAGAUCAUAUUCGUUCACAUCUGAGCAUUAAUCUCUCCCCUAAAACAUAUGCAGGUUACAUCAAUAUUUGACAAAGAGAAAUAAACCUCAUCUGCAGGUUAUUCAAUGUUUGACAAAGAGAAAUAGACCUCAUUGUGUCACAGGAAACUAGUGUCAAGUGGUCAACUAAAAUUAAGCUUAUACACACAUACGAAUCAACUGUGAACAAUCUUCAAAAGUCGAAGUGACGUCCAUUAACUCCACAAAUAGAAGACUAUGAUUUACCCAAUAAAGUGUCAAUAUUUAUCUUAAAUCUUGAUUGGUUAACACGAUAAUUCAUUCCAAGGGGUUACAAUCAGAUAAAACCAGCAUACACACAUACAAAUCAACUGUGAACAAUCUUCAGAAGUCGAAGUGACGUUCAUUAACUCCACAAAUAGAAGACUAUGAUGUACCCAAUAAAGUGUCAAUACUUAUCUAAAAUCUUAAUUGGUUAACAAGAUAAUUCAUUCCCAAAGAGUUACAAUCAGAUAAGACCAUUUUUAUAUAAAGCUUUUUUUGCAGAAUAUUAACUUUUAGUGUAAUUCUAAACACUUUGUACAUAAUCAAACUGUGUUGUUGUUGUUGUUCCACAUUUAUAAAGGUCAGUCACUUUUAAUAUUACUUUCUACAUAAAUGGUUAGAGGCCACGAAGAGGCUACACCAUUGCAACACUAAUCUAAAUGAUGGUUUCGAACUCCAACUAGAUAAUACAACCAAAUUCUGUACACCUCAGAAGCUAGAGAAGGAAUGGUUGCAAUUAGCAUACUUCCCAACUACAACUUAGAUUCCGAAGAUGAUAAUUCAAUAAAAAAAAAAUCUACAACCUUCUUAAAAGGGAGAAGAAAUGGCACAUACUAUCUUCUAUAGAGUUCCUCCCAUGACAUCACCUAGCAAAUGUUCUGAUUUUGAUAUAACCUCUCCAUUUUAGGAUUUGUCCUCAUACCUUUCUUUUCUAUUAACAAAAUCACUUAUCAUAUGAGUAUAAACCUAAAGAGAAUUUGCAAAGAAAAUCUGGUUCAAUUUGAAUGAAUUGUAUCUGCAUUUCAUAUUCUACCACAUCACCAAUACAAAGAACGUGUAGGUUACAGGCUGGCUACAAUGCCAUAGCCCAAGAUCCAAUAUCAUUAUUUCUUCCCAGUCCUUAAAAAUGACAUCUUUCUGUCAUUGAUCUUGACAGAAAGUAUUCUCUGCAAGCAGCUCACAAAUUUCCACCCCUAUAUCAGAAACUGAGUAAACAUGUCUCCAAACACAAUGCUGCAUUCCUCUCACCUAUUUUCACUUCAUCUUGGCACUCACAUUCUUUAUCAAGUUAGAGCUGCCUGAAGAUCUUCAUCAGUGAUGAAACUUCAUUAAGGAACUUUCAUUAGGAGGAUCAGAUUAUACAACAUUUUCUCCUUUCUUUUUCUUGGUAAAACUGGUGAAGUUGAUAUAAACAGCCAUUAGUUUCAAUUGAGCCAACAACUAAUGUGACAGUUAGAAAUAAUAAAGGACACCAAUUACCUGAACGUCAAGUUGCUUAGCCAGUGGUACAGUCUUUUUCAGGACUUCCUCUUGCAAGCGUGGAUCAGUAUCAUCAUAAGCUCGGACAAGCAUGGGCAGGACAUGUGAGAUUAAGUGGUCCUGACUAGCCUACAGAUGAGAAGAUGCUAUAAGAGAUAAAGCAAUCAUAAUAAACAAGCACCAAGUAUAUGUCAACUUGCGAAGAUUAUCGGAAGGUGGAGAAUUCCCUACAGUAUUUCUGGGUCUACCAUUGGGGGCAAGACAACAUGGUACAUUGAUGUGGCAAGAAUUAAUUGAGAUGUAAGAAGAAAUUGAUGCCUUGGGAAAGAGGUAUUUAUCUCUUUGGGGGGUGUUGACUUUGGUGAACCAUGUGUUGGAUGGUAUACCAACAUAUCUCACGUCUCUUCUUAUGCUGGCGAAUUUUUGUCCGAAUAAUUCUGUCCGGUUUCUGCCUAAUUUGAUGCUACUCUUUAGUUUUUUAAUUGAGGUAUUGAACAUUUGCUUACAAUUACAUGUGUUCUCUAUGCCGUAUUUAUUUUAAUUUUUUUUUAAAUUCCGCUUCACUUAAAAAAACAGGCGCUUUGCUUCUCGCUUCUCUUUUUUGUCGCUUUUUCUCGCUUCACGCUAUUUUUAACACUGGAUAGGAGUCAGAAAUCUGAAAUUGCACAACAAGAGUUUGCUAUAUAAAUGGCAUUGGAGGUGCAACAAUUGAAUAGAAGGAUUGAGGAAGAAGGUAGCAACUGUUAAAUAUGGGUUGGAAUCUUCAUGGUGUACUAAGCUGGUGAAGGAACCUUAUGAGUAGAUUUGUGGAGGCAAAUAACAACUAGUAGGGAUGAAUUUAAUACUCAUAACAACAACAACAACAACAACCCAGUAUAAUCCCACUUGUAGGGAUGAAUUUAAUGCUCAUACAAGUCUGAAAAUUGGAUAUGGAAGAAUGGUCAGAUUUUGGCGGAUAAAUGGUUGGAGAAUUACUCAAUUAAGGGAUAUAAUUUUAUAUUUUUGUAUAAUUUGGCCACUGAUAGAACAUGUACUGUAGCAAGCUGCUACUCUAAAGGCAGUUGGAAUCUUCUUCUUUUUACAAGAAAAUUAAAUGAUUGGGAAAUUGGAAAUGUGAGCAGCUUACUACAAAAUAAAAUGGUGUACUUAUAGUUGAAGGCGAAGAAGGUCGCUUAUUCUGGGAAGGCAGCAGUGACGGAGUAUUUUCAGCUAAGUCCUCCUUUAAAUUACUUUUAAGACAAAAUGAUUCAGGGAAACGUAACUGGCCAUGGAAGCUUAUUUGAAAAACAAGAGCUUCUCUAAAAGUUGCUUGUUUUGGGUGGAUUGCAGCAAAUGAUUCAUGCCUCUCACGAUAAUUUGCAAAGGAGAGUAAUCUGUAGUAGAUAUAGCAUGUUCAGACGGCGGCGCAAUCAGUCAAUCAUCUUUUUAUUCAGAUAAUUUGCAAAGAAGAGUAAUCUGUAGUAGAUAUAGCAUGUUCAGACGGCGGCGCAAUCAGUCAAUCAUCUUUUUAUUCAUUGUAAUGUUGUUUGGCCGAUAUGGUGCAUGUUUUUAAAUCUCUGUGGCAUUCAAUCAGGUUAUGCCAAGAAAUUUGGAGCAGCUGUUCAAUUGCUGGCUGGGAUAGAAGCCUAACAAUAGGUGCAGAUAGCUAUGGAGGUCUAUUCCGUUGCGUAUAAUAAUUAUAUCGGCUAUAUGGGUAGAAAGAAACAAUAGGACUUUCGAAGGGCGAAAGAUUGUAUUUCCCAUAUCAAAUUUAGAUGCAUUCAGAAUUUGUACUGCUGGCGGCUAUAUGGGUAGAAAGAAACAAAAGGACUUUCGAAGGGCGAAAGAUUGUAUUUCCCAUAUCAAAUUUAGAUGCAUUCAGAAUUUGUACUGCUGGAGUAAUAGAUAUUUAGCAAGUGAGUUUGCAGAUAGUUUGGCUCUUCCGGACUCCUUAAAGGCUUAGAAGGAGUAGGGGAAUCAGACAUCUUUGUACUGAUCAGUAGGUCUUGGUACUAUUUGAAUUAAUAAAUUUUACCUUUCAUCAAAAAGAAAAAAAACACCAGGUAGGUAAGUAUUCAACAAACAAACGAGUAAGAAUGAGAAACUAGAAAAGUCUUAUGUUGCCUCACUUCAAACAAGGCCUAAGUUAAGCUUUUGUCACUGUCAGCAGUGAAAACCUAUAGUAUUCCGCUUCUUCAUAGACAAACUUGGUUUUCUUUUCCUUUUUCCCUUUUUACCCUUCCUCUUCUUAGGUGUUUAGGAAGCAUCCUUAUUACAAGUUUGAAUAUAUGUAUUGCAAUAGUUAAGAAGUGGUCAGAUUAAAAAUAAUUAAAAGAACAACCAAAAGGUGAGCAGCUGCUUUCUUACCUUGUUGAUAAUAAGAUCUGCAUGCUUAACUAGCAGCAAUAAUGUUUCACCUGCUGCGCUGCUUAGGACAGGAACAAGAGCUGGCAGGGUUGACAUCUCAAAAUCACUUUUAUCCUGCAGUGCACCACUCAAUCAGUCAUACCACACAAAAUUGAUUGAUAAUACAUGUAGGUAAUCACAUUGCUACAGCUUAUAAAGAUCAGUCCUGAUAAUUCACCCAGAAAUAUAAUGAUUAAUCCUUGUACUGCUGUACAAAUCAAUUUUAAAGAUUCAAUAACAGAAAAGUGAACAAUAAACAAUAAGAGACAAACAAAUUGACAUGAAUAAGCAAUAUUACAUACAUAACUUUGAAGCAUGUUCUGGAAUACACAUUGGCACAAGGAAAAGACAAUACAAGCAAAGAUCAAACAGUAGGAAAUUCUAUUAGAUGAGCUAUGGAGACAUAUAAACAUAGAUGAAUGCAUAGGUUACAAUGUUUCAUUAAGGAUAAUUUACAAGGUUUUACAUAAAAUUAUCGUUGAAGAUGUCGAGCUGAGAUGGACAGUGCAGUGCAAUGAGCUGGGAAUGAAUCAAAGCUGUUAUGUAGUGCAUUUUACCAGUUAGUUAGUUGGGAGAGCUAAGUAAGCUGACAUGUACAGAAAAUAUCUAGGAGCUGUGAUGCUUUGUGAAUGACAAUCGAGUAGAUUAAAUAAGGCCAGUUGGCGAGUUGAGAUUAUUUUGUAUAUAUUACUCAAUCAGUCGAGGUAUGUUAGCUCAUAGCUGUUAUAACACGUUUUUUUCAUUUCCAGAAUUUAGGCAGCAAAAGUUAGUUUGAAUCCUCUCAAGAUUUCCUCUCAAAUUCAUCUACUACAUUUCGAUUAUAAAGAGUGCUUCGAUUGUGAUAAAUAAUACACACUGUUUCUAUCCAUGAUAAAUUCUUCUAGUCGUUGACAACACACAUAACAUGCUUCUUUCAGAAAAGUUUGUCGUCGUCAUAUUUUUCUGCUUCACAGCCUAAAUAGCAUUCUAAGUCACUAAACACGUCCAGUGAUGAACUCACGCGAAUCCAUAGUAAUGUUUGGUUCGAAAUUGAGACUACAACACCACCACCUUAUUAAAUGACCCUAAAUCGCAUACAGAUCGCAAGAAGAUUGAAGAAAUGAGGUUAUACUACAUAUCUAACCAUACACUCAAAACAUAAUAAUACUAAUUGGCGGAAUUUGGAUUUGGAUUAGAAACUAAUCAAGCUACCAGCUAUACAUAUCAGAUAAACAUGGUGAACCAGACAAUACCUGAGAUUCUGCAAUAGUCAGAACCAUGGGAAGAAUCAUGGGUUGCAUUACCACAUUACGGAGCUCAGCACAUAGUGGAGGAAGAACCUGCAUCAUAAUACAAAUAUGAUAAGUUCUCCAACCAUUUAGAAUUGCAAAAGCAAUUAACAGAAUGUUUGAGCAACAUAGGAACACAUAAUUGAUUUAUCAAGUUAGAAUUGCAAAAGCAAUUAACAGAAUAUUUGAGCAACAUAAGAACACAUAAUUGAUUUAUCAACUUCUGCAGCAAUGAGAGAUCACAAGUUCUGAACCUUAACUUCACGCUGAUGAUAUUUGAGGCACUCUCUGGAGUACACAUUAACAUGAUGAAAAGUAUUAUCUACCCCGUGAAUAAUGUUCCUAAGGAGUUGGCAGACAUUCUAUGUUGCAACAUAGGUACCUUGCCUAGCACAUAUCUAGGACUACCAUUGGGAGCCAAAUUCAAAUCUAAUGAAGUUUGGAGUGGUGUGCUGGAAAAGUUUGAGAAAAGGCUUGCAACAUGGCAGAUGCAAUACCUCUCGAUGGGUGGCAGAUUAACCCUCAUUAACAGUGUCCUAGAUAGUCUCCCACCUACCAUAUGUCAUUGUUCCCAAUACCAAGCUCAGUUUUAAAGCAGAUGGAUAAACAUAGGAGAAAAUUCUUAUGGGAAGGAUGUAGCACCACACAUAAGUUCCCACUAGUAAAAUGGUCAAAAAUAAUUCAGCCAAGAUAUCAAGGAGGCUUGGGUUUUAGAGAUUUAAUAUUUGCACAGCAAUGCAAUGAUAUUGAAGUGGUUGUGGAUAUAUGGGCAAGAGGGACCUGAACUCUGGAAGAACAUCAUUGAUGCUAAGUUUCACAACAUAAUCACUGGUGUACAAAGAAAAUAAGCACUCCUUAUGGUGUUGGCCUUUGGAAGAAUAUCAGCAAGCACUGGGAUGAGUUCUUUCAAAAUAUAACCUUCAAGGUUAGGAAAGCAGAUCAUGGUAACUUCUGGAAGGACAAGUGGCAAGGAGAUAAUGCGCUGAUGGAUAUUGUUGAGUUGUGUCCCACAUCGGUGAGUUAUGGGUAUCUUGGUCUCCUUAUAUGAUCUUGGACAAUCCUCACCUCACAAGCUAGCUUUUGGGGUUGAGCUAGGCCCAAGGUCCAUUCUUAUCAGAUAUAUAUCCCAAUUUAUACAGAUAUAUAUCCCAAUUUAUACCAGAUUACACUCAGCAAGGAAUCCACUGUUGCUCAGAACAAAGAAAAUCGCACAUGGUGCCCCUGCUCAGAAGGAACCUACAGGACUGGGAGACCUACUAACUAUGUUCAACUCUUUAGAAGGCCACAUCAUGACGACGAGCAGCUGCCAGCCCGAGAUAUACUCUAAGAGGGGCAAAUACACAGUCCAAGCUGGUUACAAAUACUAGUGUUUCCAGAAUGGUAUGACAGAUAACUGGCCUUGGAAACAUAUCUGGAGAACUAAGGCGCCUACCAAGGUGAACCCAGACAAACACUCUAAGAGGGGCAAAUACACCGUCCAAGAUGGUUACAAACGCUAUUGUUUCCAGAAUGGUAUGACAAAUAACUGACCUUGGAAACAUAUCUGGAGAACUAAGGCGCCUACCAAGGGGAACUGCUUCACCCGGAUAGCUAUAAAGGGGGUAUGUCUCACAAAGACAACUUAAGCAAGAGGAACAUUUUAUUUCAUAACAGAUGUUACGCCUACCAAGGUGAACUGCUUCACCCAGAUAGCUAUAAAGGGGGUAUGUCUCACAAAGACAACUUAAGCAAGAGGAACAUUUUAUUUCUUAACAGAUGUUACAUGUGUCAACAAAAUUCAGAAAGUGUCAACCAUCUUUUCCUCCAUUGCUCAGUUGCAAGUGAAAUCAGCACUCUCUUCUCUAUUUUUGGUCUGGAAUGGGUUAUGCCUCAGACAAUAAAGCAAGCAUAUGAAAGCUGAUGUUUUUGGAGAAUUGACAAAGCCAUCAAGAGGAUCUGGAGAAUGGUUCCAGCAGUAAAAUUUUUGGUGUAUUUGGACAGAAAGAAAUCAAAGGUGUUUUGAUCUAUAUUGCGCGGAUUCUCCAAAAUGUUGCCGCACCCAUGUCAAAUCCUUCAAAAAUACACUACUUUUGGAGGAUCCAAUAUGCAUCCGGAGACAUCUUCGGAGAGUCAGAACAACAUAGGUUUUGAUGGCAUCUCAACUCCAACCUACUCCCUCAGGACUAUUCUGGAUUUAUCUUUCCCCUGUAACUAGUGCGGAUCGCUUUGUGGAUUUCAUUAGCUCCCUGUUCUUAGCAUAGAUUUUUGUACUGGAGCUAGUUAUCUACCAUUUUGUACUUUUUGUAUCUUCUUGAUGCCUAUUAAUGAACUCUUACUUCAUCAAAAAAAAAAGAUUGAUUUAUCAAAUAAAAAAUGACUUAUAAACAGGGAUAACCUCCUAACCUUAUAACGCAGUACACGGGAGUCAAAAUCUUUCCACAUGUCAGACAAUGCCUUUAAAAACUCAGACUUCUGCAUGUUAUCUCUUUCCUACAAAAUGAGAAGUGUUCCUAUCAAUACGGAGCUUCAAAUCAUUUUGUAACAUUGUACUGUUGCUAAACAUUAUAGCAUAUAUUCCUGCAAGCAUGCUCAAGCUAAAAAAUGAAUCCAUACAAGCAUGUGAUCCAGGAAGCGAAGAGCACGCAACCUAGUGUCGUCGCGGAAAAAAGAUGAACCUGGAGAGAAAAGAAAUAAUUUUUAGAUGAAAUUUAAGUUCUUGAAGCAUAAGCUCAUUCAAGUACGUAGACGAAUAGCUAUAUAAAGAGAAGGACUGUGAAACUACACUUCUCAACCACGUUUGUCUUCUAAGAUCAAUAACACUUCUAAGACUUAAACCCCCUUUUGGUUCUAUUGUAUUAAUGAACUGUGACAUUAAUUCAAAUUGAUCAUUAAAAGUUCAGAGAUAAAUACUCUUUAUCCAAGAAAAAAAAGGUUUACAGAUAAACAACCCCCUUUAUGCAAUCUAUUCACAAUAUUCCAACAUGAUAAACGGUACAUAGAUGUGAAUGGAUGAAGACUAACAUGAUCAUAUUCCACCUUGCGACAUGCUUCCAGAAAACUACGCAAAGUCAACAAAGAACAAAACAGAAAAACAAGGAAACUGAUACAACAAAUAAAAACUAUUUUCUGAAUUAUCAAGGUUUUUUUUAAUAAGGAAAAUAAUCAAGGUUUUCUGACUGUGGUUCCUAUAAUUAUCUUUUUCUCUCUUUCUUCUUUUGUCCUGUUUUAAUUGACAAGUGGGCCCUGAAUCUAUAUAUUUUACAAAGAAAAAUAAAACCAAACAAGAAAGAUAAAGAGAAUGGAUUUGUAACAGUGUAUACACCUCACGAGAAAUAAAAGAAAUGACAAUACUUACUUGUAAAAUCCAUAGCAGUAGGUCUCAGAGCCUCAGUUGCAGAAAGCAUUUUCUGCAAGUCCUGAACUAGUUCUUGUGGAAUAGACGAGAAAGCUUCGCUGGAUAAGUAAUUCAAAUUAUUCAUGUACUGCAAGAAAGUUGUACAAGGACCACUAUUAUCAAAAGAAACCUAAAAUAAGAGUAACAACAAUUCCAAAGUCAUGUUUCAUUAAAUAUUCAUCUGAGAAAAGAAUAGAUCUGAAAGAGAAUACAUCAGAUAUGCAACAAGGUAUCAUAUUUAACUUUCGUGACUGUAAAAUAUCAUCGAUUUUGGUACAAAAGAUGUUCACUCCGUAAAAAUGUCUUGGUCGAGUUACAGCUGUUGCUAGUUAGGCUUGAGAGGAUGAUCGCAGAAACUCAAGCUCACAAGUUAUUCGACACCGAUAACUUCACCAUACUAUCUCCCCAAGAGAAUAUAUAAGUUCAUCAGCGGCUGAAAACAUACAUAAGAACGCACCUACUUUGUUCGGCCUAGAUCACUAAGUAAAUUUAUAACAAAAUGGCAAGAUAAAUUUAGACAUACACCUUGAUGCUACAUGUAAUGUUUUAGAAUGUGAUCAGAGUGACAUUUAUACUUCAAGUACUUUCCAGGGCAGAGCCCAAUGUUCCAAGCUAUAGCACAAAUGAAUAUGACAAAGACUACGAACAUAAGAUUGAACGAGCUAAACUUCUUCCCUCUCCUCACUACUUGCCAAAACCCAACUUGUCCCUUCUUCCUUAUGUUGUAGUAAAGCCUCAAUCGCGGUGAACCAGAAAACUAGAAUUUGUGGUACAACAUAUUAAUUAUGCGAAUCAUCAAAAGCAGACCCCAAUAAUCUAUGCAAAUGAUAAAAUAAUCACAGCUGAGUUACUCACCUUAGAGAAGAAACAUAGUGUGGAUUAAAUAAAGACCUUCAAAACUUGCACAUGCAGAAAGUUCUUUUAAGACAGAUAUAAUGAGUAGGUUCACCCAGAAGGACCUACUUGUAUAGACGAUUGGGUGGCUUUCUUGAAGCCAUUUUUUUGGGUAUACUGCUUGUAUAUGGGGUUUUCUCCAACAUCAAUAAUAUUAUUUAGCCUAUCAGAGAAGAAAGGUAUAAUGAAAUCUACUAUGAACAACAACAAAAAAGAAUUGUCCUACUAAGAACAACCUAGCAAUACUAUCAGGAUGCUGCAUGCAGUUUCCAGUCAUUACUUUACAGAAAGCAACUACAUUUGCAAGUACCAUUUUCACAUUGUUGUGGCAGUCCAACAAAGGCUUCCGAGCAAUCAAGUGGUACGCAAGGCACCCAAAACUGAAUAUAUCAGAGGAGCACCCAACCGAAGAUGUCUUACUUCGAACCAGCUCUGGUGCAGUGUAGUUCAGUGAUGGCUGAAGUGGUAUAAUCGAAUCUUCAACAUCAUAUUCCUGAAAAUUCAUCAGAUAAUAAAGCUAGUUUUAGCAACUAUCACCUCCAGACCAAAAUAUCUAAUAGAUAAAUAAACUUGUCGUACUCCUCACCCGGGGUUGGGUGAGGCUUGGCAGGGCUAUCCAUAGAUGAUUUUUAUUUUGGAUUGAGUCUCCCUUAAGGUAGUUAUUUAUGGUAGUUACUGUAUGAUAUUAUUGCAUGCUAUUUUAUUUAUGGUUCUUUUGUUUAGAUAUUUAUUUAAGCAACUUCUGUUGGAGUUACUAAUGCUCUUUUGUGUUUGUUUUUGUUUUUUUGGUUUUGUUUUUCUUUCCUUCACUGAGCCGAGGGUCGAUUGGAAAUAACNNNNNNNNNNNNNNNNNNNNNNNNNNNNNNNNNNNNNNNNNNNNNNNNNNNNNNNNNNNNNNNUGCCCUUUCGGGUAGGGGUAAGGCUCGUCUACAUAUUACCCUCCCCAGACCCCACUUUGUUGGACUAUACUGGGUAGUUGUUGUUGUUGUUGUUAUCAUCAGCUAGAUAAGUUAUUUCUUAUUCACAUUCUCUAUCAAAUAAAAAUAUUCUUUAUUCCCAUGAUAGAAGACUAAAGAGGGGAAAGGUGUGAAGGUAAUUCUGGCAUACCAAGAGCAUGUAAAAAAGUAGCUUUCUUUACAUGGUGUAUGAUGCCAGACACUAUUAACACCAGAAAGUGUGCAUACCAAGAGCAUGUAAAAAAGUAGCUUUCUUUACAUGGUGUAUGAUGCCAGACACUAUUAACACCAGAUAAUUUCAGAAAGACGAGAAGGUUGGUGGAGAGUUAGUGUUGCUUGUGUGGAGAGGUGGCGGAAAGUUACUGAUCAUAUCUUACUACAUUCCGGACUCGCAACACAUUCUUUUUGGGGGUAAGCACAGACUCACAACACAGUUGUAAUUGAUAAUAUAUUCUGACGAUUAUCUCAAGGCCUCUUUUUAUAAGGUAAGAUCAGUUUAUCUCGGCGCUUUUAGACCCAUCCAAAUAAUUGGUAUUCGAUUGAAAGAAAAGUAGUAAAGAUUUGCAUAAUUUACCUGGGUUAUACCGAGGACAGCGACAAACACAAUCGCCGGUUGGAGUAUAAAAAGGAUAGGCAAUGAGAACAAGGCAGCCUGGAACACUCUACCAUGUAUUUGUUGGACUUAUCGACAUGAGAAGAUUAUGUCAUGAACAUUAUUUUUGACAGGGUAUGUCAUGGACAUAAUGUUUUAAAAAAUAUUUUAUAUUUUAUAAUAUUUUUUGGUGUAAAUAAAGAAUACCAGUGUGUAGACGAUAGGGAUAUUUUGAUAGAUUGUGGUGGUUGAGCCACUCAAUUAUUUCGUAAACAGGUUUGACACGAUUGUGGUGUGAUAUCAAUGAAAUGUCUAGACUUAUCAGUAAAGUUCCAAAGGUAAAAAGAACAUCAACUGUAAGUGAUAACAAGUGAAAGGAGAAAAAGACGCAAAUUUUUCCGGUCCACUACAUUUGACUAAGAUGCAAUUUCAUUCCCACCAUUUCUGAUUGAGCCAAUUCCGUCCUCAGAGCAUGAAAUUUAUUUAAAUGAUCUAAGAGUUUUCAGUGGCCAAAUCAGACUUUUUUUUUGGGUUGNNNNNNNNNNNNNNNNNNNNNNNNNNNNNNNNNNNNNNNNNNNNNNNNNNNNNNNNNNNNNNNNNNNNNNNNNNNNNNNNNNNNNNNNNNNNNNNNNNNNNNNNNNNNNNNNNNNNNNNNNNNNNNNNNNNNNNNNNNNNNNNNNNNNNNNNNNNNNNNNNNNNNNNNNNNNNNNNNNNNNNNNNNNNNNNNNNNNNNNNNNNNNNNNNNNNNNNNNNNNNNNNNNNNNNNNNNNNNNNNNNNNNNNNNNNNNNNNNNNNNNNNNNNNNNNNNNNNNNNNNNNNNNNNNNNNNNNNNNNNNNNNNNNNNNNNNNNNNNNNNNNNNNNNNNNNNNNNNNNNNNNNNNNNNNNNNNNNNNNNNNNNNNNNNNNNNNNNNNNNNNNNNNNNNNNNNNNNGGGGGAGGAUAUAAGCAACAUAAAUGUUAUUACUAUAAAGCAGCACAUUGACCGUGCUAAAUAUACAAAAGUUCUAUUCAAGGCUAAGCCAGUAAAGUAUUAACAAACUCUAUUAUUCAUAUACCUUUUUUGUUUAAUUUCUGUAAACAUACAUAUUUCAAUCUGUGGCCAAAUCAAACCCUUCUUCUAUGUGACUGAAUGCACUGUAAUAAAAUAAAACAUGGACCUUCUGUUACAGUAGACUGUCAGCACAUAUUACUUUAAACAAGAUACGCACAGAAGCAUUAAGCAUUAAAUUACUGCACGUCAGAGCAUAUCUGUUUUAUUUAUCGCCAGGUAAAAAAGAAAAUUCCGUGUCAACUUGAUCAGUGUGCAAUAUAAUGGUGGCAUUAAGCUUAUCAGUCAUAUCCUCCAACAUAAGGCCACUAUUUACCAUGAAAAAAGAUCUGAUAACAAUGUACAUAGAAAGGAACACAUCAGCACAUGACAUAUAUAAAUGACUUGGAAGAAAAUGAACUACGUGCUAAGCCCCAUGUUGUUCGCAUUUAACUUCGAAAAUCCCCGGCAAAAAUUUUAUGAACACCAAGAGCAUCAUAGUCAAAUUCAUAGAUGAUUCCAUAAGCAACCUCUUAGGAGCGGUCAAGAGUAUAGACAUUAUCAUUUCCAUGUUCACAGCUGCAUCAAUGGUAUGCUUUGCAACACACAGGAAUUUGAACAAGUGAACUAAGAAAGCAAGUUCUUCAGAUGCACACUAAAAUUCAAGGAAAAUAAGAUAUGAGUUCCAAGCUCUUAGAAUUAUUUACUUACAGCAUAAUGGAAAGCCUGCAUGUUGGAUAAAUCAGCUACUUGAUCCACUGAAAUGGCAAAACCAAAACCACCAAGUUUCCAAGCUCCAUUUGAAGUGAUGAGAAUAGUCUGCAAAAGUAAUUAGCAUGGAAAAUCAAUUUUCUAUUUCACCAUCCCGACACAAGGUAUAUAUCCAAACGGUUUUCCUUAAAAAAAGAACAACUUUGUAUAACAACAGGAGGAGUAAUAACCUAUCAUUUUCCAGGUGUACAAAGACCUAACUGUGACAUCUUCAUAAAUUAUACAACCUAACAGCUGUGCCAAGUAGCUACCUGAUCUUGCUCUUGGAAGAUAAAGAAGCAUAUUAAAGGACAAUUCCUAUCAAGGACCUUCAUAUUAUUCCUAUCAGGGACAGUUUCAGAUAUCUUGGGUCGGUGAUCCAUGGGGGACGGAGAGAUUGAUGGGGAUGUCACUCACCGUAAAGUGGCAGGGUGGUCGAAGUGGAGGCUUGCAUCAGGAGUUUUGUGUGACAAGAAAGUACCACAGAAACUCAAGGGGAAGCUUUAUAGAGCUGUGGUUAGACCUGCCAUAUUGUAUGGGGCGGAGUGAUGGCCGGUGAAGAACUCGCAUGUUCAAAGGAUGCAGGUUGCGGAGAUGAGGAUGCUCAGGUGGAUGUGCGGACUCACCAGGUUAGAUAAGAUUAGGAAUAAAGUUAUUCGGGAGAAGGUGGGGGUGGCCCAAUGGAUGGGAAAAUGCGAGAAGCGAGGCUCAGGUGGUUCGGGUAUGUGCGGAGGAGAAGCCCUGAUGCCCCGGUGAGGAGUUGUGAGCGGUUGGCGGUGGUCGGUGUGAGUCGAGGAAGAGGGAGGCCUAAGAGGUAUUGGAGAGAGGUGAUUAGGCAGGACAUGGUUAGAAUGCGGAUUUCCGAGGACAUGGCCCUUGAUAGGAAAAUCUGGAGGUCUAGUAUCAGGGUUUUAGGAUAGAGGCGUCUAGAAUUUUUCGCACUCCUUUACCGGGGCUGGGCAGGGUUUGGCUCUCCAUAGAUAAUAUGUGUACUGGAUUGUGCCCACUUAUGGUAGUUACUGUUUAAUAUUAUUGCAUGCCAUAGGUUGAGAAAUGGAAGGUAUCAUAUUAAUUAUAUGCAUGAUAGCAAUGCCUAACCAACACAAGGGUAAUAACAUAAAUAGUUAAGAAAAUGGAAAAACAAAAAUAAAUACCUCCGGUGAUAUAGACCGAUGAAUUAGACGAGCAUUACCGUGGAGGAAAUCCAAGGUUUCUGCAAUUUGGAGCAGACCAUGUUUAACCUCAAGCAAUCCCAUUUCCUGCAAAGAGAGAUCUCAUCAGCAGAGUAUCAAGUAUCACCAAGUUCUAACCUACUGCCAAAUCAGAAAAAACACGAGAUAAUUUUGCAUCUUUUAUUACAAAAAUGUACCAGAAUUUCUUAAAAAUCUUAAUUUGCAAAUAAACAUUAUGCAUGUACGAUGAAGCACCAAAGGAUUAGACAACAAUCGAAGUAAAAGUUGUUUCUCAGCUUGCACUCUGUGUUUUAAGCAUCUUAUUUUUGUCUUAGAUUUAAUGUUGUUUUAGUUUUACUAUUGGAAAUUUCAGCAAUAAGGAGAAGCUUCCCUAAUGACAACAAGUGUAUCUCUGCUUCAUGGCUGUAUUGAAACUCUAUUGUCCUUUCUUCGGUUAUAGAUUUAAGAUGAUUACACCAAAAAAAGGCAAUGUCCUGGGAAUGCUGUUUUAGUUUUACUAUUGGAAAUUUCAGCAAUAAGGAGAAGCUUCCCUAAUGACAACAAGUGCUACUCUGCUUCAUGGCUGUAUUGAAACUCUAUUGUCCUUUCUUCGGUUAUAGAUUUAAGAUGAUUACACCAAAAAAAGGCAAUGCCCUGGGUAAAUAUCACUCAAAAAGUGCAUGAAUUUGGAAAGAUGAGACUGUCAAUAAAGUCACCUAUCAGAAGCUUAGGCUUCCCAACAUGAGGCAAUUGCUGCAACAGACCAUCUACUCCAAACACCACUUGCUUGUUUUGUCUCCCCCUCCAGAUACUUUAGAACUAUUUGGUUUUAUGCAUAGCAGAAUUAUUGAGAGCCUCAAACAUGUUUUUUUACGAGGUGAGAGCUUCAAAAGUGGUUUAUUGUUUUUGUAUAAUACCACUAUGUUAGUACAACAACAACAACAACAACAACAAACGCAGUAUAAUCCCAUAGAUGGUUUAAUGCUUCAAAAGUAGUUUCUAUUGCUACUAACCCAGACUCAGUUGCGCAGAAUUGGGAGGUUAACUCAUGGAACCCAAGCUUAAGAAGAAAUCUGAAUGACUGGGAGUUUGAUGACUUGGUAGCACUUCUUGGCAGCCUUCACAAUAGUUCAACCAUUACUCCAGGUAGGGACAAACUCAAAUGGGGCAGCAGGAGUGAUGCAUACUCAGUCAGAGCUAGUUAUCAAACCUUAAGCUCCAGGAAGGAAAUGAUUGAUCAGAGGCCCUGAAAACUAAUUUGGAGGACAAUCUCAUCCGAAGGGGGUUUCAGCUUGCUAGCAGAUGCUACAUGUGAAAAAGCAACUCUAAAACAAUCAACCAUUUAUUUCUUCACUAUCCAGUUGCAACAGACAUAUGGUCCAUGAUUCUUUCACUUUUUGGAUUGCAUUGGACAAUGCCAUGCAGUGUUAAGGAAGUUUUUGUGAGUUGGAGUUCAUGGAAAGUUGAAAAAAGCAACUCUAAAACAAUCAAUCAUUUAUUUCUCCACUGUCCAGUUGCAACAGACAUAUGGUCCAUGUUUCUUUCACUUUUUGGUUAGCAUUGGACAAUGCCAUGCAGUGUCAAGGAAAUUUUUGUCAGUUGGAGUUCAUGGAAAGUUGAGAAGUCCAUCAAGAAAAGCCGGUCUAUGGUUCCUGCUGUUAUAUUUUGGAGCUUAUGGAUAAAAAGGAAUCCAAGAUGCUUUGAUGGUGAUCUCAACUACUAGAUACUUACUCAAGGCUAGAUGUUUGGUCACACUUUUUAAUUGGGUUAAACUCUCCCCUAUGUACAACUCUGACCAAUUUAUGGAAUUUAUGAGCUCUCUAGUCUUACAAUAGAGUUUUUGUUGCUCUUCUUAGGAGCUGAUCUCUUCUUUUAUUUUGUAAUACGUGUAUCCACUGGAUGCUUUUGUCAAUAAUACACCACUUGCUUUAUCAAAAGAAAAGUAUCGGUGGGUCUUGAGAGGGUAAUGUGUAUGCAAACCUUAUCUCUACUGGAGAGAUAGAGAGGUUGUUUUCGAUAGACUAUGCUCCAGAAAAGAAGAAACAGGGGGAAGAAAGAAAGAAUAGGGAGAUAAAAGACAAUAAGAAAAAAGGGGAGAAAGAGCAGCAAUAUACCACUAUGUUAUUGAGUCCGAUAAAUAAAAUUUCUUUCUCCUCCUCCUAAUUUAUGUGGCAUUAUUUGACUGGGCAACGAGUUUAAGGAAAAAAUGAAGACUUUUGAAAAUUGUGAUCUAAAAUAAGUUUUCGAUAUUUGUGUGGCCAUAAUGUUAAGGGUAAAACUGGGAUUUUAAAAUUAAAUUAUUUCUAAACAUAGAAAGUUGAUCUUUUUUUGGACAGACUAAAAGAAAAGUCUGACAUAUAAAUUGGGACAAAAGGAGCAAUAAUUGUUCUUUCCCAUGUCCCAGAGGGUUGAUAAAAAAACUUUAAGGGAUCUUUUGGUUGGAAUACGAUUUAUACCGGUAUAUGUUAUGCCGAGAUAAGUUAUAUUGGGAAUAGUUAUGCAGGGAAUGUUGUUUAUUCAUUAGUUGGUAUGUUGUAUUAAGAAUGACAAUUGCAUAAUUUCUAAGAAGAAGGUAUAAGUUAUAACGAUGCUAAUUGCCCCACCUUCUAUAAGGUAUAAGUUUUCCCGGGGUUAAAAUUAAUACGAGAUAACUUAUACCUAAUUUGCUAAUCAAACAGAGUAUUAAGAUGGUAUUAAAUUUUUAUACCAUCCUUAUACAUUCUUAUACCACCUUUUAUACCACCCUUAUACCUUCUUAUACCUCAUACCAAAUAACCCCAAGUAUAUUCUUAUUCAUUUGACAUAAGGAAAUGAACAUUUACUUGCAAAAGGUGACGCCUAUAUACAAAAGAUUGAUAAGAAAAAGCUCUACAAUCUAUAAUUCUCUAGAAAACCUAUCCUGACGUCGGUACAAGCAAGAGUGACAUGUGCACGUCAAAAUAUAUGGAAAAGGGGAAAAAGCAGGGUCAAAAUUGAAUUUUCUUUUCCUUCUAUGGGGUUCACAUUACAACGAGAUUCCCCAUGUUCCAUGCUCCAUAGCCAUGUCAGACUGCAUUUCCAGCUCAACACGAGCUUCUCUACAUUCCAGGGCAUAGCUGACGCCAAAGAGGUGUAACAUUAGACUACACUUUUUGUUGCUUCCAAGUUAGCAUCCCCAUGGUGCCCAAUGACAAUACAAUACCUAUUUUACUUAAAAAAGGAAUACAUAUAGCAUGAUUGCAACAUAAUCUCUUCAUUGAGUUGGCUUGUGCGACCAAACAUAGACACCUUUUACAAUGUAACCCAAAUCCUAAAAAAUAUAACAAAGUCAUCAUUCUCUAGCCCGCCCCUCUCCCGAUCGUGUCACACUCUUCUAGAGUACAUAUCAACUUCGCUCAAUCCCAAACUAAUCAAGGCCAGUUAUAUGAAUCCCCUACGUUCAUUAUGCUCAAUUCGGGCCAAGUCAUUCCAAAACUAAUAAUUUCUUAAGGAAAAUUAAGUGGUCUCGAAAUCACAUGCUUAUACCUACAGUGAGUAAUGUCUCUGACCAGACUCUAGACUCCUAAAAUCCGCCUUAUUCUUAUUUUGAACUAAUAAUUACUUAAGGAAAAUUAAGUGGUCCCGAAAUCACAUGCUUAUACCUACAGUGAGUAAUGUCUCUGACCAGACUCUAGACUCCUAAAAUCCGCCUCUUUCUCAUUUUGCCACCAACGAGAGCUUACUUGUCUGUGGGAGAUAACAAGUUGCGGUGAAGAUGAUUAUGAGGAAUCUCCACAUCGGUGUUGACUCCAACAUCUGAAUUUAUCAUAUGCUAUUGUGAUAACCAUACGCACAGGUUGAAGAUGCAUAUUGUGUGUUCAUGCCAAUACGUGUUCUUUAUAGAUACUACCAUGAAGUACACUGUCUUUUAACCAACCUUUUUUGGAUAAGUAAAAUGCUACCAUUCUAUUCACCAAAUGUCUCCAAGCAAUUUUAACUAUGACCAGCUUCUAGUCUAGCUUUAGACAGUGGCAUUCUUUCAAAAGAGAUGUCGUGCUGCAAAAGCUAUUAUCCAGCUAGACAGAAAUUAUGUGCCUUUAAAUCCAAUAUUAAGAUUUUAUAAACGUCAGACAAGGAAAAUCUUUUGGUCUAAUGCAACCCAUGCCUAGUAGAUUUUUUUUCUGGCAGCUUUCAAAGUAAAUCUUACAAGUAACAAUUUUAAGUGUCUAAACUGUUUGGUCUAAUACAAACCAUCCCUCGCUUUCGGGGUCAAUCUGGCAUCUAACUACUUCAGUUAAUAAAUCUAAACAUUUUGUCCAAUGUAAACCAUCCUGUAUAGCAUUUGAAUCAAUCUACAUCAAACUUUAAGUUGGUAAAUCGCACACAUAAACCAAAAAGUGCAAAAAUAUUUAUAUAGGAAAUGACACAGAGUUACCAUCAUGUUCAAUUGGUCAAAUUAACUACACAUCAAUUCCAAACUAGUUGAGAGGUAGUUGUUAUCAUCACAUUACUAUAACUCCAAAAUCUAUACUAUUAACCCACUUAUUAGCUUCAAUUCUUCUUUCUUUUACGUGAGAAAACCACAAUGUAACUCAACGAACCACCUCAAAGAUCAUCAAAAACACCCAAAAAAAAAGAACUUCCCAUGAAAUAUUCGACAGCCAAAACAAAAUUUUGGACCUCCGACAAGCAAGAUAAACCCUUUGGUCUAAAAAAAUGCGUCUGUAAUAGCUUUCUCAGGCAAUCUUACAUCUAACUAUUUAAGAUAGUAAAUCCGAACUUUUGGUCUAAUAUAAAACCUCCCUAGUAGGCAGUAGCUAUCGGAGUCAACCUCACAUCUAACCACAUAAGUAAGUAAAUUGCACACAUAAAUCCAAAGCAAGCUAUCUUCUAAUUAACUAAAAGUGAACCAUCUAGUAAUAAAUGACACAAAAAAAUACAAAUUAGCAUCAAUAUACUAGUUACCCAACCAGAAUGUAACUAACUCAAAAAACAAAAUCACACACUUGAACCAGCUCAAAAUUAUCAUAAACGCGGGAAAAUUUCGAACUUUGCACGAAAAAUUCAAUGAAAUUUGCAGUUAAUUACACAUUUAUCUAAGAGAUAGUCAGAAUUACACAAUUACCAUUCCUUUAAGCUCCUUAGGAACUUUCUCAAUAUUCUCCAAAUCCCCCAAAGCAUUAGCAGCAGAAGAAAACAAGGGUUCGGUAACCAUAGCCAUAGCAUUCUUACUCUCAUCAAGUGCCUGCACUACAUGAACAACCCCAGGAUGCCUCAACCUCACCAACCGGGCCGCAUCAGCCCGAAUAACAUCAAAAAACGAGUCUUCAGCAGUCUUAGAAAGGCCGGCCCGUUGUCGCGCUUCGGAGAGGGCCCGCUUAUCGAGAAGCCAAACGCAGACGUUUGGGUACACCGCAUGACCGUCUCGAGCCUUGGCUGAGUACAGCUUCCAAGCUAGGCCCGGCCCAGCUGACCCGAUCUGAUCUAAGAGAUCGUAGUCUUGUAAAGCUCUAGGUAAACCGGUGACUUCUUGUACGGUGGUUUGAACGGUUUUUUCGAUCACCGCUGAGGCUUUAGCUGAGGCUUUGGCGAAGGCUUGGGUUAGAGUUUUCAUGUUGAUCGACAUUUUUGAUAUAUUUUGAAAAUUAUACGGUGGAAAUUUGGAUCGUCAACGGCGGCGACGUGGCGGUGGCGGUGGCGGUGGUGGGGCGGGUGGAGGAAGAAAAACAAAAUAGAGAUUGGAAGUUGAGGAAGAUGGGAUCCCAACAACAGCCUUUUUGUUUUCUCUCACUCCGAUGGACAAGUACUUUUUUCUGUUUUAUUAAUCACUUCGUAUAUAAGUUAACAGAGAAGAUCUAAUUGGCUACAAUUUAGAAAUUGUGAUGAUCAUGAAGAGGGAGUAUAAUUAAGUUACUACUGUCUGAAUUCUGCCUGUUUUAUCACUAUUUUAUCCUGCCCUUGAUAGUUUACAAUUUGAUUAGUACUAUUUUCUUUGAUAUAAUAAUAUUUCCUUUCAAGGUCUGGGAGCGGGUGAUCGAGGCGAGUGUGAGGAAUAUGAUAUCUAUAUCUGUGGACCAGUUCGUUUUCAUGCCGGGUCGCUCCACUACAGAAGCUAUCCAUCUUGUCAGACGGCUGGUGGAGCAGUUCAGGUUUAAGAAGACGGACCUGUACAUGGUGCUUAUCGACUUGGAGAAGGCGUAUGACAAGGUCCCAAGGGAGGUGCUNNNNNNNNNNNNNNNNNNNNNNNNNNNNNNNNNNNNNNNNNNNNNNNNNNNNNNNNNNNNNNNNNNNNNNNNNNNNNNNNNNNNNNNNNNNNNNNNNNNNNNNNNNNNNNNNNNNNNNNNNNNNNNNNNNNNNNNNNNNNNNNNNNNNNNNNNNNNNNNNNNNNNNNNNNNNNNNNNNNNNNNNNNNNNNNNNNNNNNNNNNNNNNNNNNNNNNNNNNNNNNNNNNNNNNNNNNNNNNNNNNNNNNNNNNNNNNNNNNNNNNNNNNNNNNNNNNNNNNNNNNNNNNNNNNNNNNNNNNNNNNNNNNNNNNNNNNNNNNNNNNNNNNNNNNNNNNNNNNNNNNNNNNNNNNNNNNNNNNNNNNNNNNNNNNNNNNNNNNNNNNNNNNNNNNNNNNNNNNNNNNNNNNNNNNNNNNNNNNNNNNNNNNNNNNNNNNNNNNNNNNNNNNNNNNNNNNNNNNNNNNNNNNNNNNNNNNNNNNNNNNNNNNNNNNNNNNNNNNNNNNNNNNNNNNNNNNNNNNNNNNNNNNNNNNNNNNNNNNNNNNNNNNNNNNNNNNNNNNNNNNNNNNNNNNNNNNNNNNNNNNNNNNNNNNNNNNNNNNNNNNNNNNNNNNNNNNNNNNNNNNNNNNNNNNNNNNNNNNNNNNNNNNNNNNNNNNNNNNNNNNNNNNNNNNNNNNNNNNNNNNNNNNNNNNNNNNNNNNNNNNNNNNNNNNNNNNNNNNNNNNNNNNNNNNNNNNNNNNNNNNNNNNNNNNNNNNNNNNNNNNNNNNNNNNNNNNNNNNNNNNNNNNNNNNNNNNNNNNNNNNNNNNNNNNNNNNNNNNNNNNNNNNNNNNNNNNNNNNNNNNNNNNNNNNNNNNNNNNNNNNNNNNNNNNNNNNNNNNNNNNNNNNNNNNNNNNNNNNNNNNNNNNNNNNNNNNNNNNNNNNNNNNNNNNNNNNNNNNNNNNNNNNNNNNNNNNNNNNNNNNNNNNNNNNNNNNNNNNNNNNNNNNNNNNNNNNNNNNNNNNNNNNNNNNNNNNNNNNNNNNNNNNNNNNNNNNNNNNNNNNNNNNNNNNNNNNNNNNNNNNNNNNNNNNNNNNNNNNNNNNNNNNAAAGAGGUAUUUGGGAGAGGUGAUUAGGCAUGACAUGGCUAGAAUGCGGGUUUCCGAGGAUAUGACCCUUGACAGGAAAGUGUGGAGGUCUAGUAUCAGGGUUGUAGGAUAGGGGUUCGUAGAGUUUUUUGUAUUCCUCACCCUGGGUUGGGUGAGGCUUGGCAGGGCUACCCAUAGAGGAUUUCUGUUUGGGAGUGUGUCUCUCUUAUGCUAGUUAUUUAUGGUAGUUACUGUAUGAUAUUAUUGCAUGCUAUUGUAUUUAUGGUUCUUAUGUNNNNNNNNNNNNNNNNNNNNNNNNNNNNNNNNNNNNNNNNNNNNNNNNNNNNNNNNNNNNNNNNNNNNNNNNNNNNNNUUAUUUCUACUGGAGUUAAUAAUGCUCUUUUAUUUUUUGUUUUUGUUUUUCCUUUCCUUCACUGAGCCGAGGGUCGAUCGGAAACAGCCUCUCUGCCUUUUUGGAUAAGGGUAAGGCUCGUCUACAUAUUACCCUCCCCAGACCCCACUUUGUGGGACUACACUGAGUAGUUGUUGUUGUUGUUGUUAUUUUCUUUGAUAUCUUUUGCUUUUUCUUUUAUUUCUCUGUUUUUGGCUGUUCAUGUUGAAAUGUACAUUUUGAAUUUUUUUAUUAUCCUUUUUAGGAAAGAUAAUUUUAGAAUAUGUUUCCAAAGGUUACAAUCACGUUUAAAAUUCAGAAAUUAAUGAAUUAAUAUUCAAAUUGAGACCUAAUUAGAUAGUGUAUUCUAAAACCGUAACUUUUUAUCUUUUUUUUUUUUAUGGAGGAACUAUUAUAUUAUGAUUAACAAUAUUUAAUAAAGUUAAAAGAUAAAUUACAUGAAUCAAUUUUUAAGACAUCAUCUAUGAAGCCCCUCCGUAUGUAAACAUUCCAAAUGUGGUUCUUCGGUUGAAAUCAAAUUAUCUUUUCCUAAUAGCACGUUUUCUAGCACUACAAUUUACUAACUUAGAUAUUCCAUGUUAAAUUAAGAUCAAACGCUAGUUAGAUGAAGACUAUUGGACACCAUAAUAUUAAACUUUUCAAGUAAUAAAUACCAAAACUCUAAUAAAAGUUUAUCGACAAAUAAUAAAUAAGAUCGUAAAAUUUCACACAAGUAUCCUAAUGACCGAAAGUACAAGCCAUGCGUCACUAGAAUUUUAAUUUUAUAACGCUGGUACAAAGAAAAUAUAAUAUUUGUUUCAGUGACAAAUCUAAGAAUGUAAUAUAAUGGGUAUUCGACGACUUUUAAUUUUGGUAAAUAUAUAAUAUAAGUAUAUUUGAUACCUAAAUUUUAUUCAAGCAUUGAUGGAUAGAAUUAUCUGAUACCAUAUUAAUAAUGGGAGAUAAUACAUAUCCCAUGGAAUAAGUCAGGUGCGAGCACAAGAAAAAAUAAUUUUUUAAAAAAUAAAAGAAAAGGAAAAGGUAACAAGAAUAAAAGGAAAUAAGGAAAAGCGCCCAAAAAAAGAUGGAAAUAAAGAGAGAAUCUUCCAACCGUAAGUAAAAAUGAUUCAGUCAAAUUUUAAUUAUCUCACACAAAGAGCUAAGAGUGACCCUAAGCCCUUUCUCAAAAUCAAAGCACCUAGCCCCAAGUUUUGCUCGUGGGUGCUCAUUAUUAUUAUUAUAUAGUAAAUUUCCAAGAAUUUCAUAUCAAAUAUAUUGUCUCGGACUGUUAAACAGUGGGUGCUUCAACACCACUUUAUUGAACGUGGAUCCGCCCGUGAUUUGUUUGAUUAUGCAUAAAUAGAAGCACAAAUCCUAUGCUACUUUGAACAAAGAGGUAGCUUGCAUCUGGAACGAUACGUCUUUAUACUUUCUCCACAGCAGCUCAGUUCCAAAAUCUACAUACAAGGUACAGAAGUAUAGUAUAAGUACAACCGACUUCAUGUACUCAAUAAGUAUCUUGACUGACCUCAGCAAAGUAGUGAUAAGAUUUUUAGUCAAAAAAUUCUUGCUUUAUAUUAUUUGUGCAGCUCAAUGUACAAUAUGGAGAGGUAUUCAAGGAAACUGUCAUAGAACCAUGAAUAUAACAAUAAAGGUGCACAACUAAAGUAAAGAUAAUAAAUAAACCUUUCCGAUUAAACAUAUCAACACAAAUACAACUUGCAUCAACUUUGCUUUUAACAGAAGACAUAUACCAAAUAGCAUUUACUCAAAAACUUCUACACGAAGAUAAAGGAUCUAUGCAAGUCAAUGAUGAAAUUUCAUAUCAACUUUUAAAUGACAGGUUUAUGAAAAUCUUUAUAUGAUUCCAACAUGAAAAUGUGUGAUGAUAUCUCUCCCUUUUACAUAUAUUCGCACUCACUGAAUUGUCCAAACAACUCACUAAGAAGUUCCAUGCAUAUAUGAAAUUCAUCAACUAGCAUAUAUUGAAGAUAUGCAUGAAUGAAGCAUGUAAAUGCAUGAAUAUGCACAAAGGAUUUACUUGUUCAAAGAUUCCCAUCUUUAAGGUCUAUAACUCAAAAUAUCCGAUCCCACAUCACAAUCAAUCAGAAAUUUAUCGGUUCGUCAUAUCCUACAUGUAUUCCAUCAAGAGAUAAACAUGAGAGGGAAACCCUAGGAGGAUGGAUUUAUAUCCACAUGUGGUAUAGUCGGAGCAUCAUGCCUUGAAAAUAUCACAUCAUAGUCACCACACAGCAAAAACCUUAUGUCAAUCUAUAUCAUAUCAUAGUCAUUGCACGAGAAAGAUCGCAUGCCGAUCAGUAUAACAAUAUCCGUAAGGUAAAACUUUCGUACCAUAACCUCAAUUCAUAUUCGAGAAUCAUAUGUAGGAAUGUAUACAUAUGAAUAAGAUAUAAGCAUAUAUAAUGCACAUGGACCGAUAAAUAACCAUGUGUCGCACCCCCUUUUUCUCGCAAAAUCGGAUUUAUGAUAUUUGGUGUAGGAUAACUCAUACCUUUUGGGAGUUGGGUUUGUAUUUUUUGAAGAGUCGCCACCUAAUGAUUUAAGGUGCAUUGGGACAUCAAAAGAGUUCGAUUUGAAUAACCAUAGAUAGGGUAAUGGCUUGAAAUUAUUCCAAGGGGAAGGUAUUAGACACCCUUCAGAAUCCACUAAUGUAGUUUCUAGCCAAACAAUUAUUGUAAAUUUUGGUGCAAUUAACAUAUAAGCAAAUAAGGCUUAAAUAAGAGGGAAUUUCACGUAAUGGGUUGAAAGUAAACAAAGUUUGAAAGAACAAUUAGAAACGCUAUUUUUUAAAAGAAGGAGUUGAAUGCUAAAAGAAAGAAAUAAAGAAUAAAUGGAGGGGGGUCCUGGGUUUAUUAAAAAUAUGGAUUACCCCACACAAUAUCCAGUAAUCACUCGUGACAUUAUCACGUAGUCGGUCAUCAUAUCCAUAUCUACCCUUCCCACCCCAUUAAGAUAUUUAAAGCACGGAUUGGUCUUGAUUACUUUAUUACAUGCUAUUACCCGUCCCAAUCCUAUCAGUCUCGGAGGCAUUUAGGACUACUAAUCCUAGAAGGGAGGGAUGUUGGCAUAUUUGGAGUUUCAAAGGUGAAACUCUAAGGCGACACACAAAAACACAUAUUGCAUAUUUUGGGAAAGGCCUAUAAACAAACAGAGGCUCAAAUAUACCUCCUUAAACAAAGAAAGCAUAUAAUUAGCGUGAAUUAUACAUACUAUUUAGGUCUGAUUCAAAAGUAUUAAAGACGAGGGAGAGGAGAUUGUCGAGACAGAUUUAGUUUAUUACAUAACUCAGAUAAGAAGUCCAAAUCAGGCAUGCCUGCUGGUUGUAAUAAUUAACAUAAGAGGAUUCGAUUCUCAAUUAUUACUCUAAGGCUUGCCUAGGUGUUUAGACGAGGAUCCUAUAGCAUGGUAUCUACUGAAUUCAAAAGGUGAUAAGAUAGUAAGACUUGAAUGAAUUAUUUAAAGUCCUACAUGCAUACUUGUUAUGUGAGGGACUCAGAUUAUUAAAAGAGAUGCAGAACAUACAAAGUUAACUAAAUUGGUUACAGGUUUUGCAGGUGAUAACAUCUAAUACUACUGAUUUUAUUGCUAACAUUGAGUGAAACGAAUGAGAUUCAUUUAGAAACUCCUAUAGACAUGCUUUCUGUGCAUUACUGAUUUUAAAACCUUAUAGACGUGGUGUCGAAAUGCAGAAAACCUUAUGACAUGGUAUCUAAAUGUAGAACUUGUUUUAAACCUUAUGCAGAAUUAAACAAUCCUAUAUGCAUGAUUUCUUUAUGUAAUUGAAUAUGCAGAUUUAGAACAGUCAUAUAUGCAUGAUUUCUAUACGUAUUCUGAAUAUACAGAAUUAGAAUAGACCUAUAGGCAUGAUUUCUACCCUUUGCAUGCAUAGUUACCCACUCUUUUUACUAACCAGCCCCAAAUUUUUAUCAGUAUUUUAAAUGUGUUCCUGGGACGAGCCAUGAGGCGAGGCAUACCAAAAAUGCUCCAGGGCGAUGGUGGGGGGGGGGGGGGGAAAAUCCNNNNNNNNNNNNNNNNNNNNNNNNNNNNNNNNNNNNNNNNNNNNNNNNNNNNNNNNNNNNNNNNNNNNNNNNNNNNNNNNNNNNNNNNNNNNNNNNNNNNNNNNNNNNNNNNNNNNNNNNNNNNNNNNNNNNNNNNNNNNNNNNNNNNNNNNNNNNNNNNNNNNNNNNNNNNNNNNNNNNNNNNNNNNNNNNNNNNNNNNNNNNNNNNNNNNNNNNNNNNNNNNNNNNNGGGGGGGGGGGGGGGGGGGGGCGAAAAUCCCGUGAGGCUUACACCCAGAAGUUCGAGGCGUGCGCCCGGGUGAGUUUUUGGGUUGAGGCGUAAGCACAAGAGACAUCUUUUUAAAAGAAAUUAAAAAUAUUAAAUUUAAAAGUAAUCUUUUUAAUAUUUCUAAAAGCCCUAAAUUAGAAGUCUUUCUCAAUUCUUUCCGUUAGUCUACCUCUACCAAGAGCAACGAUUUAUCAUUUUUUUGCAACAAAAAACUUCAUUCUUCUCCGUAAGUCAAAUUCAACAGGUUUAUUCCUUCCUCCAUGUAAAAGCUUUAUUAUUUUCAACUCAUUACCUUCCUCUCUUUUUAUAUUUUUACUGUUAGUUUGUAAAUAUGUAUGUAAUUAGCUUUCUAAGUUCAGUUCUUCUCUUGAUCUCUUUCAAAAUAUUAAAUGGGAUUAUAUGUAUGCGUGCUUUUAUAUGUAUUGAUUAGAUUUAUAGAUUUAUAUGUAUUUAUUUGAGAUUUAUAAUUUCAUUAGAUAAUAUGGGAUUUCACUAAUAUAUAAUUAUUUGGGAUUUAUAUGUAAUUUACUUAUAUAAUUUUACUUUAUUUGGGACUUCUACAUAACUUCAUUAGAUAAUAUGGAAUUUAUAUAUAUAUUUCACUAAUUUAUAGUUUUUUUAAAAUAUUAUGCAAUUUUAACUAUUUAAUAAUAUUUUUUUGUAAUUAUAUUAUUUUAUAAAAUAUUAAAAAUUAAAUACUCAUGGGGCUUACGCCCCGCUGAGGCAUAUGCAAAACACCUUGCCUUACGCCCGCGCCUUUUAAAAUAUUGAUGUUUAUUACAACUUAUUACAAAUCGAAAUAGCAAAUUACAUCAGAAAAUACAAAUAAAAGUACAAUUAGAGGAAGUCCGAUUUGACUUCCUCACUGAGUUAUGAGAAAAACCAACUCAAAGACCAUUGAUCCAAAACCUUUCUCUAAUUUGAGUGUCUUAAAGUUCCCUAAGAGCCUCAAUGGGAUACCGGGCAGUGCUCACACCGAAAUUGUAUCACCAGAAUGGGGAUAAGUGCAGUGUGGAAGGGACAUCCCUCAAGUGUCCAAGUUCAGAAGGACCUCCAUGGGUCCCAAGGCAAGGCUUACAAGAGGGGGCAGAACUUAAAGUCUAAGAGAGAGUACAAGUGAAAAAGCAGAGGGAAUAAAGAAGAGGGAAACAACCACAAGCAAGUUGAUAACUUCAUACAAAAGGGUUUAGGGGGUUGGGAAGUUGCAAAGAGACUAUACUUAGACAAGGGUAAGCUUUGGGCAUGCACAGUAAUGGAGGAUGAUGUGCCUAUAAGCCUACCAGAACAUACAAUAUUGGAGGUUAGGAUCCGUGAGGAUCAAGCUUGAGUCAUGGGCAAUAAUAUUCAGUACUGACAUGCCUCAAAUAAACCAUAGUAUUGAACACAUUGGGGGUGGGGGUUUAAGAUUCAUAAUAAAUUCAGAACAGGCAGAAGGAAAUUAUAGCAUAAUAAGUACUGAACUAAACACAAGCAAUAGAUAGACAAGAAAGUAAAAGUAUUAUCUAAACACACUGUGGUGAUGCUAGAAUCUUAAUAAGAACAUACCAUUUCAGAGAAGCAAAAUACAGUAAAAACAGGUAGCAAGACUUUGAAGACAUGCCACAGUACAAGUAACAAAAGAGGAUUUUUUUUAGUGUGAGUGUGAAUUCUGAAACUAUCACGACAUCAAUCCCCAUCGUGGUGGUGCCCAACACAAUUUCUAGGCAAGCCCGGCCAUAUAGACACUCACAACCUAAGUAUGAAAACUCAUUGAUAGCUACUGGGGUUAUUAUAAAAUCUAACAAGAUUCAUAAUUCCGAUAGUAGAUAGAAUAACGCAGAAAGCCAUAGUAAAACCAAUUUAACUCCCAAAAUAUAUGGGGCCACGAGUUUAGAGCCACUAAACACAACCGAGAAAUAAAUCCUCAAAAUACAUAAGUCUAGAAUGCGGAAAUAUAAAUGGAUAUGGGGGAGAAGUCGGGUCCUGUGGAUGUCAGGCAGCUACCUCGACAACUCCGAGUAACUCUGAAAGACAGCAAGCCGCUCAACUAAGCUCCCGACGCACCUGAAUCUGCACACAUGGUGCAGGGAGUAAAGUGAGUACAUCCAACUCAGUGAGUAAUAAGCAUAUAUAAUGACUAAGAUGAGAAUCCACGAAAAUAACACAAUGUAAAAGCUAUAACUAACAACUUAGCCUAAUUAACGGUGAAUUAGCAAUAAAACAGGAUCAGAUAAAACGAAUAAACAUCAAAGUAUGAAUACAAUGUAAUGCACAUGACCGUUAUGGCGUGCAGCCCGAUCCAUUUGGGUACCCGCGCUCACUGUGGGGGUCCAGACUCCGGAGGGGGGGCUCCUACAACCCAAGCGCAAUAUCAUCGUAAUAUAUUUGCGACGUGUAGCCCGAUCCACACUCAGUCCAGAAUAUGCAUGUGAAUUAUACAGCAAAGUCAGAUUUUAGUUCUCAGUUCCAUUUAUUAGGAAAAUUAUUGUUUAAGUCUUUAAAACCUUAGGAAUGUGACUAAGUAUUUCGAAACUGUGUUUAAACUCAGGACUGAAAUCAUAUAGCAUGCUAAUCAUCAAGGAUGUCUAAGUGUUUGGAAACUGUGUUUAAACUCAGGACUGAAAUCAUAUAGCAUGCUAAUCAUCAUGGAAGCUGUGAUAAUAAUCCCCAAGGGAUUCAAAUAGUCGACAUACGGCCCAAAUAUAUCAUAACAAUCUAAGUAGGAUGUUUACUACUCAGUCUAUAGUCCAAAUCACAGCUUGAACACCACUCGGGGCGGACUAAGCCAUAAUCCCCAAACACAAACGACCCCGCACUCGUCAUAGAGUGCGUGUCUCGCCUCAAUAUAGCGUCACAGUGUGAUAUACCCGGGUUUCAAACCCUCAGGUCAUCAUCUACAUCUAUUACUCACCUCAAGCCGGCCGAAGACUAGCUCGCAAUGCCUUUUCCUCUCGAAUCGACCUCCUUACGCGUCGAAUCUGGCCAAAACCACAACGAAUACGUUACAGUAGGCUAAUAGAACACAACCUAAUCGAAAGACUCGUAAAACACCAAAAAUCACGAAGUUGGAAAAACCCAAGCCCCGGGCCCACUUCUCAAAAAAUUACAAAAUUCACAUCAACGGACUCCUCGUCUCGCCACGAGUCUAUUCAUAUCAAAUUUAACAAAAUCGAAGUUCAAAUUCCCUUUCAAAUCCCAAAUUUAAACUCUCUUAAGUUUCAAACCCUAACCUCCAUUUUUACCAUCUAAUUCCUUGAAUUUUCAGUGUUAAUCCAUGACUUUACACCAUAAUAUCAUAAUCUAAGUCCAAAUAUCCAUUCUUGGUGAAAGCCCUCGAAACUCUCUAUAAAAUCGCCCAAAAACCUUCUUAGUUCGAAGUUGAAAAUGUUGUUCUCUUUCAAAAUUAUGAAGUCACUGUUCAUUAAAACACAGUCCAGUUUUCGCUUAUGCGGCUCCCAUAACCCCUUCUGCGGUAUCGCUUCCACGUCCAAUUAUCCGCUUCUGCGAUUUUCACUUAAGUCUUAUACGACCACUUCUGUGACAAAGGGCCUCGCUUCUGCGGAUCCCCAAAUCUGCUUCUGCGGUUAAUACUCCACUCUAGCGGACCCGCUAAUGCAGACCAAGUUCUGAUUCUGCGGAACUCCUCAACCCUUUCCAAAAUCGCAUCUGCGCUUCUGUGGUCCAUUUUCGCAGAAGCAUAAAUACCAGAUGACAGUAAAACAAACCUGAAGCCAACUUCAAAAACUUAUCGUUUUAACACACGAUCUUACCCCGAUGCCCCCGGAACCUCAACCAAAAGCACAACACAUGCUCUAAUACCUUAUUCAAACUUGCUCAAACCAUCAAAACACUAUUGUUAGCAUCAAAAUUCUCAAAUUUCAUCAAAUCAAAGCCUAAGUUUCCUAGAAACUUCCGAAUUGCACAUUCGAUCAAAAACCCGACCUGAACACCUCUGAAUGACCUAAUACUUUGCAUGCAUAUCCAAAAUCGCUUAGCGGAGCUACUGAAACUCUCAGAAUUCCAUUCCGACCCCCGAAUCAAAAUCUCACCUAUCCACCAGAUUUCGCCAAAUACUAACUUCACCAACUCAAGCCUAAUUCUACACCGGACCUCCAAAAUCAAUUCCGAUCGCACUCUUAAGUCACAAAUCAUCCACCGAAGCUAACCGAAUCAUCAGAAUUUACAUCCGAGUCUUUACCUAAAUAGUCAACUUUUGGUUGACUUUUCCAAAACAAGCUUUUCUUUAUGAGGCUAAGUGUCUGAUUUCCAUCUAAAACCAAUCCAAUUCUACUCAAUCACCUCAAAUAUCGAUAAUAAAGCAAGAGAAACAUAAUAUGGGGGAAAUGGGGCGGUAAUUUACAUGACGAUGGGCUGGGUCGUCAUAUCCUCCCCAACUACAACAAAAGCUCGUCCUCAAGUGGGUCAAGAAACAUACCUGAAGCCUCAAAUAGGUGAAGAUAUCUGCUCCACAUCUCCUGCUCGGUCUCCCAGGUAGCCUCCUCCAACGACCUCUCCACUGCACCUUCACUAAGGCUAUAUCCUUAGAUCUCAACUUCCAAACCUGACGACACAAAAUAGACACUGGCUCCACAUCAUAGGUCAAGUCCUCAUUCAACUGAAUCGUGCUGAAGUCUAAUACAUAAGACGGGCCCCAACAUACUUUCGGAGCAUAGAAACAUGGAACACCGGAUGAACCCCCAACAAUCUAGGUGGAAAAGCAAGCAUAUAUGCCACCUCCUCAAUCCCCCUAAAUAAUCUCAAAAGGUCCAAUGAAUCAUGGACUCAGCUUCCCUUUUUUUCCAAACCUCAUAACGCCUUUCAUAGGCGAAACCUUCAACAAGACCUUCUCGCCCACCAUAUAAGAUACAUCUCGAACCUUUCGACCCGCAUAACUCUUCAGACACGACUGAGCUGUACGAAGUCUCUCUUGGAUCACAUUCACUUUCUCUAAGGCAUCUUGGACUAACUCUGUCCCUAAUAGUCUAGCCUCUCCGGGAUCAAACCAACCAACCGGAGAUCUACACCGUCUUCCAUAUAAGGCCUCAUACAGCGCCAUCUGAAUACUGAAUUGGUAGCUGUUGUUGUAAGCAAACUCUGCAAGUGGCAAGAACUCAUCCCAAGAACCUCCAAAGUCGAUAACACAGGCAUGCAACAUGCCCUCCAAUAUCUGAAUAGUACGCUCGAACUGUCCGUCCGUCUUAGGAUGAAACGCUAUGCUUAACUCGACCUGUGUACCAAACCCUCAAUGAAAAGUCCUCCAGAAGUGGGAAGUAAACUAAGUACCGCUAGACAAUGGAAACUGGGACCCCAUGCAACCGUACAAUCUCCCGAAGGAAAAUCUCCGCUAACCGCUCCGAAGAAUGGGCGGUACACACAGGAAAAAGUGGGCUGACUUUGUCAGCCUAUCCACAAUCACUCAAAUAGAAUCAAACUUCUUCAACGUACGAGGAAGACCACUUACAAAAUCCAUAGUAAUUCUCUCCCACUUCCACUCGGGAAUAUCCAUCCGCUAAAAUACACCACCGAGCCUCUGAUGCUCAUAUUUGACCUACUGAUAGUUAUGACACCGAGCUACAUAACUCACAAUAUCCUUUUUAUUCUCCUCCACUAGUAAUACUAUCUCAAAUCUUGAUACAUCUUCGUAGCACCCGGAUGAAUGGAAUACUGCGAGCUGUGGGCCUCGUCUAAUAUCAACUCCCAAAGCUCAUCCAUAUUGGACACACAAAUCCGGCCCUGAAUCCGCAACUCACCAUUAUCACCAUUAGUUACAUCUCUAGCAUCAUCAUGCUGGACCCUGUCCUUCAGGACAAGCAAAUUCUGUUCAUCAUACUAGCGCUCUCUAAUGCGGUCAUACAAGGAAGAUCGAGAAACCGCACAAGCCAAACACCCAACUAGGCUCAGAAAUAUGUAAUUUCACUAUCCGAUUGGCCAAAGACUGGACAUCAAUUGCAAAGGGCCUCACCUCAAUUGCAAUGUACACCAAACUACCCAUACUAAUCGAUUUCCGGCUCAAAGCAUCUGCCACUACAUUGGCCUUCCCCGGGUGAUACAAAAUGGUAAUAUCAUAGUCCUUGAGUAACUCAAGCCACCUCUGUUGCCUCAAAUUAAGAUCCUUCUGCUUAAACAAAUGCUGAAGACUGUGAUGACCCAUUAACACUUCACAAGAUACGCCAUCUAAAUAGUGCCUCCAAAUCUUCAAAGCAUGAACUAUAUCAGCCAACUCUAAGUCAUGAACAGGGUAGUUCUUCUCAUGGGGCUUUAACUGACGAGAAGCAUAAGCAAUAACUCUACCUCCUGCAUCAAUACACAUCCGAUCCCAACUCUCGAAACAUUACAAUACACCGUGUAAGAACCUGAAGCUGAUGGCAAUACUAAUACCAGAGUUGUGGUCAAACCAGUCUUGAGCUUCGGAAAGCUCUCCUCACACUCAUCGACCACACAAAUGGAGCAUUCUUCUGCGUCAACUUUGUCAAGGGCGACGCAAUGGAUGAAAAACCCCGAAUAAACCUAUGAUAAUAACCCUCCAAGCCGAGGAAACUCCGGACCUCACUAGCUGAGGACGGUCUAGGACAAUUCUGCACCACCUCAAUCUUCUUUGGAUCCACCUGAAUACCAUCAGCCACAUGUUCCAGAAAAGCCACGGAACCAAGCUAGAACUCACACAUGGAGAACUUUGCAUAGAGCUUCUCCUCUCUCAAUAUCUGCAAUACCAUCCUCAAAUAGUGUGCGUGCUCCUCCUGGCUACGCGAGUACACCAGGAUAUCAUCAAUAAACACAAUCACAAAUGAAUCUAGAUACAGCCGAAAUACAUGGUUCAUCAAGUGCAUGAACACGGCUGGGGCAUUAGUCAUCCCGAAUGACAUAACCAAAAACUCAUAGUGCAUAUAUCUCAUCCUAAAAGCCAUCUUCAUAAUGUUUAAAUCCCAAAUCUUCAGCUGGGGAUAGCCUGAACGGAGAUCAAUCAUAGAAAAUACCUUUGCCCCCUGAAGAUGGUCAAACAAAUCCUCAAUACGGGGUAGUGGAUACUUAUUCUUCACUAUCACCCUGUUCAACUAUCUGUAGUCAAUGCACAUUCUCAUCAAUAAGCCUGUGACCUCGGAUGAACCCCGGUUACCCUAACUAGUGUGAUUUUCUUCCAACCAACCCGAGUAGUGUGGCACACAUCCUGCGUGAUACUUGUGUGCCUUAAUAGUUUCUCUCCCCAAGACGAGUUUGCAAUGCCACAUGUGUUAAGCAUGGCAUCGGUUGGGGCUAUCAUCAUCUUGAAAGUCAUCCCUAAAGUGACUCAUUUUAUCUACCCUUGGUAUGAUCUGCUUCCUUCCAGCUUGCCUCAUGGCUCGGAGAGAGGCAUAAGGAUGAGUUCCCCUCAGGCCGAUGAGUAUGAGGAAUGAUGCAUCCCGAGAACAAAUAGUGAAAUCCCUUAUUGGGGGACAUAAGGAUAAGUUCCCCUCAGAUAGAUGAGUAUGAGGAAUGAUGCAUUACGAGAAUGAACAAUGAACUCCCCUAUUGAGAACCACUCGAACAUCCACUGCACUUGCUCUUUCUUUAGAUUCUCAAAUAGGUCUACCCUUCCUCCAGCGUCCUCCGGCUGGGCAAACAUGUUGCGCAUGAAGUUCAUUCGCUUUGGGUGGUGGAAAGCAAUAUGAUCAUCCCAAUCCCUGCAUAUAAUCUCCUGUCAGUAGUCACCUUUCUGAAGGUAUUAUAUAAGCUAUAGUUUAAGUAACAGAUUACAACCUUCGAAGUGUGGGGGCCCUUUUUGAUAUUUUCCAAAGGCUCGUUUCAACGAUGAUCAUGGGCACUAUGCUGAAAGACUGCUCGUCGAUCCCUUCCAUCAAGGUCUUCAUAGGAAAGAUCAUCAUCCCCAAGAAACAGAACAUGAAGACAAAAACCUUACUGUGAAUAUUCCUUAAGGAGGUAAGGGCGAACUCAUCGGUGUAGGUGCGGUAGGACUUGCUAUGACCAUAUCUCUCGUACAAGUAGUCAAAUUGUAUGUAGGAGCUUUUCAGACAAGUCAGAUCCGGAUUUUUCUUGAGUCCCAUCAUCUUAAGAAAGUCUCUACCUUUGCGAUUUUUUGGCAUAAGCAGACCCGGAGUCUCCCAAGGAAUACCAGCUAGACCUCUUGUUCUUCCACUAAAGGGGUCAUUUCCAAAUCCCCAAAGCGAAACACUGACCGAUCUCUAUCCUAGAACAGAGUUGUAGUCUCUAUGAUUUCUUCCAGUAAAUGAGUCAUUUCCAAAUCCCCGAAGCGAAACACCGACCGAUCACUAUCCCAGAAAAGAGUUGUAGCCUCUAUGAUUUUGUUGUCAGGCUGGAUUUCCAGAAGUGAAAGCAAAUUCCCUAAGUAUUUGCGGACAAGGGUCUGAUAGCUGGCAUCAAGGUCCUCCCACCAGCUUAGCAGCCUUUGGUGAAUAUUGGUUACCAUACUGAAUCUAGGGACUUUGUGCCUCAUUUUCUAUAAAACAAAGGGUUAGACCUAGAUUCGUCUAUUAAGAUAUUUAAAAUAAAGGCAUUUAGUUCUCCGAAUAAAUGCACAUAACAUGGAGGUGUCCGUUUGGGUUUCAAGGAAAAUCCGAUGGACUUUGGACUAGGCUAUCUUAAUGAGUCGUUAUGCGGAUAACAUAACUGACUCAGGUAGGUUUGACCAUGAUACAUGAAUAGUUUAACGGAGUAAGAUUUCUAUUUUUGAAGUGCUAGACUGGUACCCUUGAGCGGACAACUCAAGAGGGAAAGGCGCGGAACCGUUGACUACAGCGUUGAUCGACUGGUUUUAUCACAAAUAUGCCUUUGCAACAUUUAGGGGAUGAUCGGAAGAGCGCAACCACUCAUUAUACGUGUUGCUAUAGGAUUUGUUUUGGUACGAGUGGAGUAUGAUGUUGGAGAUGCAAUUAUAAAAAAUGAAACAAAUUGACAAGUAUUUUCACGUUCAUAAGGUAAAUGAUUACAGUAAAUGCUCGAAAUUACAACGGUAUUGAAAUAAUAAAGCAGUAAAGGAAAUAGUUAAAGGAAAGAAAAGAAAUGAAGAGCCAAGUUAGUUUUCGUGAUGAAAUAAUCAAAUGCAAGAAAUAAAGGGAAUUAAUGAAGCAGUAAAGUAACAUAAAAACAUGUAGUGGUAAGAAGCCUAAUGAAAUCCCCAGCAGAGUCUCCAUGCCGCUGACGCCCCCUCUUUCCAUAUCGCGGACGGGAGGGUCAGGAAAUAGGGUAUACGACAUUAUAGGAGGCAACUUUGUUCUCUCGCGAGAAUUGAGUUUUGGAGUUUUGGAGAGUCCUCACCUAAUGAUUAUAAUGCAUUAGGACACUUUAAAGAGUUGAAGAGUUUUGAGAAGAAAGUAAACCAGAGUUCGGGUAAGGGCUUAGAGAUUAUCUCGAGGGGAAGGUGUUAGGCACCCUUCAAGAUCCACUAGUGUGGUUUCCGGCCAUGCUAUAAUUGUGAAUUUAUGAAAAUAGAAGAAGCAAGUAAAGUUUGCACAUAAGAAUCAGAAAUAAGUUUAAAAGCUUAAAGAAAGAAAAGAAUUCAAUUUUUUUAGAAAAAAGGAUUAUUUGAAGAAAACAUUUGCAAGAAAUGGGAAAAGGGGUCAUAGGUUUAUACAAAAUAUGGAUCACAUCAAUGCAAUAUCCAGCAAUCACUCCUCAAAAUAGGGGUCACACGAGAUAUUAGCACAUCGGUCAUCAUAUCAAGAGUAAAUUUUGCAUAUAAGGAUCACAAAUAAGUUUGAAAGCUUAAAGAGCGGAAAGGAAUACAAUUUUAGGAAAAGGGAUUAUUUGAAGAAAACAUUUGCAAGAAAAGGGAAAGGGGGUCAUAGGUUUAUACAAAAUAUGGAUCACAUCAAUGCAAUAUCCAGCAAUCACUCCUCAAAAGAGGGGUCGCAUGUGAUAUUAGCGCACCGGUCAUCACAUUCAUGUACUACCCUUCCCACCUCGUUAAGGUAAUUAAACGCGAUUAGUCUCGUUUACUUAUUGCAUGCUAGUAGCCAUCCUAACUUAUCUGUCCCGAGGUAUUAGGACUUCUAGGGGGGAGAAAGGGGUAAAUGCAUCUAUGGAGUUCAAAGGUUUAAAUUCUAAUUGCGACAUACAAAAACAAGUAACAAAUAUAGGGAUGAGCAAAACAAAUAGGUAAGGCAUAAGUAAACCCCUUAAUCAAAGAACUCUUAGUUUAGCAUGUCUUGCACAUAAUGAUUUGGUCUUUAAGUUAAUCUUAAACAGCGAACAGACUGGUUUAACACAUUUAUUUAGAUAGAAAGUCUGCAUUAGGCAACUUGGAUUCAAUUAUCAGAAAUUAAGGUAUUUUAGGGGAGUGAUUUAGAAAGUACUGAUUUUAGAAAAAUAGUUUAAUGCAGAAGAGCUUUGAAAAGAAAGUACAGACUGCAGGAGUAGAGAAAUUAGUAAAAAGGAAUCAUCAGACUGAACGAGUAUAAAACAUAGAAAGAGUUGUGAAAAAGUUUCAGAGACAGAAAUAUCUAAGGAAAAAGUAAGUUACAAAACUGUUUUAAAAAAUAUAAUUUUAGAGGAUGAGUAAAACACGUUAGGCAGGAUGUUUAGAAAGAACCGUUCCAGAAAAAGAUGCCGAUUUGAAGAGUUUAAAAAGCAUACUGAUUUGAAAGUGUUUAGUCAAAAGAUCAAGGCUUUUGAAAAAUGUUACUGAAUUAAGACGUUAAAGACCAGUUAACAGAUCUUUAUUACUUAAAACGAAUGAGUCGAUUUUGAUGCAAAAUCCUAUAGGCAUGAUAUCUAUAUUUGAAUUUUAGGACAUGUAAUUGAACCGAUAAAAAGAUAAUUGUUUAAUUAGCCCUAUAGCUUGCCUAAUGAGUAUGCAAUCCCUAAAGACAUAAUUUCUAUAUGCAUUAGUUACAUGAACGUUAAAGUCUUAUAGGCAAGAUCUCUAGUGAUUUGCAAUAUGAUUAAACAAUAAACAUUUUAGGCAGAAUUUCUUAAUGACUUGCAGCAUAAUUAAAUGUUAACCCUAUAGGCAUGGUAUCUAGGUAACUUUGAAUAAAAAAUAAUGGACAAUCCUAUAGGCAGGAUUUCCAGUAAGAAAAUUAAAGUCCUAAAGUCAUGAUAUCUACUCUUUAUUGAGGCAAGAAAGUAAAAGCCCCUCCACACCCUUUUACUAUAUUCCCCAAAGUUCUUUAUGCAAAUUAUUAUAGACCAAAGGAAAAAAAUACAUCAAAACUAACAGUUGCAUCCAAGGCACCUAAAUCAGUCUAAAUGUCAAAUAAUAUGUGAUUAACCAAUUUCAGAUUUCCAAAGCCUUCUCUUUAUCUAGGACAUUUCAAAGUUUCAAGGAAUUUUAGGAAUUCCCGGCAUUGCUUACACCCAAGAUACCCAUUUCGAAUUAGAAUAGUACAGUGCGGAAUAGCCAGCCCUCAAGCAUCCAAGUUCAAAGGGAACUUCCGAGUCCCAAAGCAUGGCUUGCAAGAGAGGGGCAGAACUUAGAGCUAGGAGUGAGUGCAAAGUGAUUGGGGAACCAAAUCAAAUGGUGGUCAUACCUAGCCAUAGGUGCAGACUGGCACACCCCUGACUAUUUGUUUGGUCAAACAAGUUAGGAGCAGCCCAUGAAGGUCAAACCUAAGUCUGGGUAGUGAUCAGAACACUAUCAGACCUAAGUCAAGGCUCAAACACAUAAUAAUGGACAAUGGAAAUGGGAAUUGACUGAGUUAAGGAGUUCAAAAGAACCCAGUUCAGGGCCAUAGACAGCAAUAUUGCUGCUAUGGCUGGAACAACAACUCACAUACAACGGGAUUAGGGAGAGGGGUUCACAUAAGAAUAGUGAUAACAGGAUUGCAGAAACAUAGUGAAGAAAACACAACAAAACCUAGAAAGUGAACAUGUAGUGGAGGAGCAUUAUUAAAUUAAGAAGAACAUACCAGUCGAAGAUAAUAAAACAGCAGAACAACAGAGUAAGCAAGCAGUAAGAAAUCAGUAGGAGCAGACUUAAGUUUGCAUGCAAAACAUUUGAGAAUUCAGAGAGAACUCAAGAAUAUUUCAGAAGGUAAAAGGAAGAAGAGGAGGGUAGAAAGCAGAGAUAAUAUAAGUUGAGAAAGCAAUUUUAGUGUUCAACCUUGUGAAAGCCAAUUUAAUGCAGAAAAGUUGUGUGUCGAAAAUGUAAAAGAGUGGCCCCUUUUAUAUUGCAAAAAACAGGUAAGAAAAAGAUAAGAAAAUAAUUUGAAAAUCAAUCACAGGCUGUUUCCCUUUGUUUAUGGAGUUGAUUUCAAACGAGCAAGAUAAAUAAGGAAAGGGCUUUCAUUUAAAAUCUUUUCCAAGGCAAUAUAACAGGGGCAAAUAAAUAGAGCAUUAUUUAAAGAAAUAGCUUAGUAGCACACGGUUUGGACAAAAAUAAGGAAAGACAAUCAGUCACAGCUAGUUAAAAUCAAGGUUUGAGUCUUGGUACGAAUGAAUAUAACCAAGAAAGGAGAAGACGAACUUAGUUUAAAGAAAAAUCAUCAACACUCAAUCAGACCCUUUUAAAAAAGGACUCGGAAUCAAUAACAGUCUAGCCAAAGGCCUUUUCAAAGAGGAGAAUGUCAUAUAAAAAGCAUGUAGAGACAAGAGAGAGUUGUUGAAAAACUAGCAAGAAAUUAAAGUAACCAAGAAGGUUAGGUUCAUAGACUCAGAAUGAGUCUGAAAUAGAGUCAGGGUUAUGAGUGGAACCCUAGUCCAAAUACAAGGUCAAGCUUGUCAAAAAACCCCAAAUACUAGGGUUUCUGACUCGAAUUGGAUGCAUGGAUGACAACUUAACAAAUAGAAUAGGCUCAGUAGUCUUUUUCUUAUGCAAAUAGCCAGUUUGAAACGUAGGAAAUACAUUAAGGAAAAGCUUGUCACUCAAACAAGUCUAGAAGCGAAAAGGCGAUACAGGUUUAGGAAAGCAGUAGAUGGAGCAUGCUUAGAAAGAACUUGGUAAAAAUAUGAUAAAACAAGCAAACAUAAAGAACCCAGCAGGAGAUACAUGCAAUAAAAAUCACAUAGCAGAGAUAAUCAUGCGAGCUUAGGCUAAGGCACAGGAAAGAUGCAAAGCAUUGAAGGAUCAUGCUUAAGAGAAAGAAAAAGCGGAAGAUCAAAUACUUGUGUAGCAAAGAAGAAACAUACGAGAUAAACACAGAUGAAAUACACAUAAUUAAAAGAGAAGAAAUAAUCAGAAAGUUUUUCAGAAACCCUAGUUUGAAAAUCAAAUGUUUUUAAAAAGAAAUUGGGGAAAACCCUUGAAAUAUCGAAUAUAGCAUAGAUGUAUCAUACAUCUAAGAGAAAACAAACAGAAAAACCUCCAAUAAAUUUAGGUUCUCUGAAAUCCUAAGAAUGAGAAGGCUUGAAAAGGAUAUGGUCGAACAUAUCUGAGCAUAGCUAGGCUCUCAUAGCUCGAACGCGUCGGAACACGGCCGAAGAGGCCAUAGAACCACAGAUCUGUGAAGGAUCUGCUCGAAGACCAUCAAGGUCAGACCUCGAAAUCUCGAAAAACCAAGGCUUGGGGGGGGGGAGGUGAGCACAGGCCGUCCAUAGCCUGAGAAGCCAUGGACUUCGGUGAGAUUGAUCGGAGAAGACGAGGGAGGCGAUUAGGCUUUCGAUUUCUAGGGAGCGUUUGAGAGAAGGAGAGAGCUUGAAGGUGGAAGUCGGAGAGGAAAUGAGGAUUAGGAUUAUGUCAUUUGGAUUAAAAAGGAAAGGGUCAUUUGUGGUUGUUGAUCAAAAUGAUCAACGGCCUGGAUUAAAGGGAUACUGGGCGGGUCGGAUUAAACUGGGUUUUGGGCAAAGACGAAUUAGGCUCAAAAUAGGGUAGAUUUUAUGCUGAAAUUGUAGUAGAAUUGUGGUUAUAAUUGAAAUUAAUUGAGGCUACAAUUGAAAUAACCAAUUUUCCCCUUUUAUUUUAUAUAAAUAGUAAAAGAUGUUUUAAAAGCAAACUAAAGGUACUGAGUCAACUAAUAAUAUAUAAAUAUAUUUUAAAAUUUUGGGAUCAAAUUCGUAAUUAUAAAAUUCUAUUUAAAUCUUAAAGAGGCCAGUAUUGCAAUGCAAUUUGGCUUUAAAAAUACCAAACAGAUUUGUAAAAAUAUGCAAAAAUCAUGUUAACUAUUUUUUUAAAUGAAAAUAUAAGGAUAAAAUAAAUUAUUCACUAAAAAGAUAAUUUUAGAAAUAAUUAUUUGAUUUUAUGGUGUAUAAAUAGGCAAUAAAUUGGCUUAAAAAUAAAUUAAAAAAAUGCCAAAACCCUUUGGUGUACUUAUAUAUGAACAUAUAUGUUAUUUUGGAAGUAUUUUGUGUAUAAAAAUACCCACAAAAAUAUUGAGGUCCCCAGGACCUCGAGUGAGUUUUGGGGUGGUUUCGGACCAUUUUAAGGCCAUUUUUAACUGCUGGUUUUUUGGCUACUGCAGUGUUCUAUGAAAUCGCGGGGAAUAGGUCGCGAUCGCGGUGAGUAAAAUGUGAGAAACGUUCCAAUGAAUCGCUUCGCGAAGAAGGAAACUUUCUGUUGCAUUGAUCCCACUUCGGAAGCUCAUAUCUUUUUAUGUACAAAGAACUUGGAGGUGAUUCCAAAAUAAAAGUUGUAGCCCUUCAAGUCUAGUUUCUAGAAAUAUAAAGAAAUUAUGAUUUUGACAUCUGUAGAAAGCGUUAUGGACUUUACACUAUAGGCUGUCCGGAAAGGAUCUCUAAUACACAUGGAUGGAUUUGGAAGCUUAUAUCUCCCAAUGUAUAACAUUUCAGGAAAUAAGUAACAUAUGAAAGUUAUAGCCUUUUGUGUCUAGUUUUUAUAACAUCAAACCAUUUGUUACUCGGAGUUGUGUGCAAAAAAGUAUGGCCAUUAUACUGAAGGGUGCCCGGAGGAGUUGGAAUCUCUCUCCGCGAUCAGGAAGCCUUUUCCGCGAUCGCGAAGUGUAAAAUCUGGGUUGGAAAAAUUUUCUCUCUGUGAUCGCGAAGCAAUUUGUGCGAUUGCGAUGAAGAAAUACCUGGGCAGAAUGUUUUAAAACACAUCAGUUACGAUUUUGAGGUCAUUUUACACCCACAGUUGCUCGUUUUUUGGAGAUUCUUGAAUGAGACUCACGAGGGAUUCAAGGGGGAACAUUUGGAGGUAAGUUUCUUGGAGUCAAACCUCAUUUUUAUUAUGAAAUUCAUCUAGGAAAUCAUUGAAGUUUUGCUAAAAUGAAGGAAUAGGGCUUGGAAUUUUGAGAUUUUAAAUUUAGGAUUUGAAAGGGGGCAUUUGAACUACAAUUUUGAUGAACUUUAUAUGUACGGACUCGUAGCAAGACGAGGAAUUCGCUGAUAUUAAUUUCGUAAUUUAUUGAGAAGUGGGCUUGGGACUCGGGUAUUUCCAACUUCAUGUUUUUGGGUGUAUUUCGAGUUAUUUCGAUUGGGUUAUGUUCCAUUAGCGUAUUGUGACUUAUUCCUAUUGGUUUUCAUAGAUUUGGCAUCCGUGGAGGUUGAUUCUCCAGGGAAAGGCAUUGGAGCUAGUUUUCGGACGGCUUGAGGUGAGUAAUGGGUAGAUGAUGACCUGAGGGUUUGAAACCCUGGUAUAUCACAUUAUGACGCUAUUAUGAGGCUAGAUAGGCACUCCAUGGUUAGUGCAGGGUCGUAUAUGUUGGAAAUUGUGACUCGGUCCAAUCCGAGGGAUAAAUUGUGCUAUAUUGGCGAUUGCUUCGCAUACUAUAUUGAUGAUAUCGGGGCUUGAUGCCAUGUUUGGGGCCUUGUGCCGACUUUUAGAAUCCUUCAGGGAUUGAUAUAUCAGAGUUAGCAUGAUUUGUAUAUUAUUUGAAUUCAGUCCAGGGUUUUUAAAUACUAUUUUUGCAAACUCAGUCGUAUUUCUAUGUUUUGAAAACUCUAAUGAUUCCUAAAUAAUAUUUUGGGCUAACGAUCAUUAUCCCACUAUUGUUUUUCUGGACUGUAUAUUAUUUCUUGGAAACAGUGGUAACUAUUGGCACCAUGUCUUGAAAUGGAAAUGGCGGUAACUAUUGGCACCAUUUAUUAUAAUGGAAAUAGUGGUAACUAUUGGCUCUGUAUGAUAUGGCGUUUGGACUGUAGGAGCCCCUCCAGAGCACGAACCCCCAUAGUGAGCGUGGGUACCCAAAUGGAUCGGGCUGAACGUUCUGCAGUGUUCAUGCAUUGCAUUGUAUCUCAUGCAUUUAUUUACCAUUGCUUUAUCUGUAUAUCUCUGAGGCUUGUACUGUAUAUAACUGCUAGAUAGCUUCAUUUUGUGUUAUUUUGUGUUUUCUUAUCUUCGGGUUUUUAUACAUGNNNNNNNNNNNNNNNNNNNNNNNNNNNNNNNNNNNNNNNNNNNNNNNNNNNNNNNNNNNNNNNNNNNNNNNNNNNNNNNNNNNNNNNNNNNNNNNNNUAUACAUGCUUAUUACUCGCUGAGUUGGUAGACUCACCCCAUACUCCCUGCACCUUGUGUGCAGAUCCAGGUGCUCCAGAGAUCUAGUGUUGCUGCUAUUGCUAUCCGAGCUAUCAGAGUAAUGAGGUAGCUGCCCAGCAUCCGAAGGACCGCUUCUCUGUCUCUUUUAGUCUAUUCCUUUAUAGUUUUUGUCAGACAUUUGUAUCAUUUCCUCUCAAACUUGUAUUCAGUAUUGUUAGAGGCUCUGUACUCGUUACUCCAAGGUUUUGGAAGUGUUGUUGGUUCAUUUGUGUUAUUAACCGUAUUGCUUAUCCCGGCUGGGAGUUUAUGUUUCUAAAAAUUGAUGUUUUACCUUAAAUUUGUAUCUCUUUGGGCUGGAAGGCCAUUCUUUGGAAGUGGUUUGGUCGGGCUUGCCUAGCCUUGCGGCCGAGCGCCAUCACGAUCUGGUUUGGAUCGUGACAAGUUGGUAUCAGAGCCUAGGUUGCUAGGCCUCACGAGUUAUUAUUCGGUUUAGUAGAUUCUCGCGGAUCAGUACGUAGACGUCCGUGUCAUAUCCUCGAGGGGCUACAGAACUUAUAGGAAACACUUCACUUUCUUGGAAUUCUUAUCAUGUGACUUUGUUGAUUUGAGAACUGAAACUUCUUAUUCUAUUCUCUCGCAGAUGGCGAGAACCCGUGCUACCGGACGUGGCGGACGACCAAAAGUGCCACUUGCUAGAGGUCGUGGGCGUGGCCGUGGUCAUGGUCGAGUUGCACCAGCGGAGACAACACAUGCAGACCCACCAGCUGUUCAGAUUCAGGACCAGCCUCCAGCUGUGGAUGUCCCAGCAGCACCUACUCAGGCACCGGUAAUGCCCAUUGUGAUACCUGGUCUCUUGGAGACAUUGGCUCAGAUCUUAUCAGUCUGCACCGGGUUAGCUUAGGUGGUAUCAGCUACCACUCCAGCGGCUACUUCUCAGACGGGGGUGGUUAUCAGACCCCCGCAGCUUGCACUCAAGAGGAGGGUGCACAAGGCUUGCAGACCCUAGAGGCACCACCAGUUCAGCCAGUUACCCCUGUUCAACCAGUUGUUCCAGUUCAGAGUGAUGGGGUACCAAUGAUGCCAGACGACGAGCAGCGUCAUCUGGAGAGGUUUAGCAGGUUUUCACCUCCGACUUUUAGCGGUGUCCCAGACGAGGAUGCCCAGGGGUUUUUCGACAAGUGUCGACACAUGCUCAGGACACCAGGGAUCUUGGAGACUCAGGCUUUCACCUCCACUUUUAGCGGUGUUCCGGGCGAUGAUGCCCAGGGGUUUGUCGGAAAGCGUCGGCGCAUGCUCAGGACAGUAGGUAUCUUGGAGACUAGUGGGGUAUCUUUUACCACUUUUCAGUUCUCACGAGCAGCCUUCACCUGGUGGGAGGCAUAUGAGCGGCGUAGGCCAACAGGGUCAGCACCGUUAUCUUGGUAGGAGUUCUCCACUAUCAUUUUGGAGAAGUGGGUACCUCAGUAGUAGAGGGAGGAGUUAUGCGGGCAUUUUGAUUUGCUUUUCCAAGGGGAUAUGUCUGUGACGCAGUAUGAGAUGCAAUUUGUAGAGUUAGCUCGUUAUGCUCCGUGGAUUUUCCAGACAGAUCAGAAGAGGAUUAGAUGAUUUGUGGAUGGGAUCAUUUAUCCCAUUUAGGCUUAGGCUGGCAGGAUCAGCACCGUUAUCUUGGCUGGAGUUCUCCACUAUCUUUUUGGAGAAGUGGGUACCUCGGUCGCAGAGGGAGGAGUUGCGCAAGAAGUUUGAGUUGCUUCGCCAGGGGGGAUAUGUCUGUGACACAGUAUGAGAUGCAAUUUGUAGAGUUAGCUAGUUAUGCUCCGUGGAUUGUCCAGAUGGAUCAGAAGAGGAUUAGACGGUUUGUGGAUGGGCUCAUUUAUCCCAUUUGUAUUCUGAUGACUCGAGAGAGGGUCCUGAGUCAUACCUUUGAGGAGGCGGUGGAUAUUGCCCGUGAUAUUGAGACGGCUUGCCGUCAGGAGAGAGAUUAGAGGGAGGCCAAGAGGCCUCGAGGAUCAGGUGACUCUAGUGGUGCCCCGUAGAAGCCAGUUUCAGCAAAGCAGGGUCGUUCUUUCAGAGCUCCACAUCCAGCGCGGUUUGAGUACCGUUGUUCAUCUUCUGGUCGGGGUUAUCAGGGCUCUCAGCAGGGUCAGCCAUCUCUGAGCGCAUUUCUAGCGCAGGGUUCGUCUUGUGCCCCAUCUGAUCGGGGUUCAUAUCGGCCUAGUUCUUUGGCCAGCUACUCUAGUGCGAGGGGUUCCCUUCAGUCCCCUUCUCUAGAUCCAGGCAGUUGUUUCGAGUAUGGUGAGUUUGGUCAUUUGAAGAGACAUUGUCCUCGACUUCGUGGUGGUAGAUCUCAGCUGAGGGACCAGUCCUCAUCUUCUGUCCCAGUGUCUUCAGCACCUGCCCAACCAGCUAGGGGUGAGGGUCAGGCAGUUAGGGGUCGCCCCAGAGGGAGUGGGCCGAUCUGGUGGUGGUCAGGCUCGUUUCAAUGCUCUUCAGGGCAGGUCAGAUGUUGUUGCUUCUGAUGUUGUUAUUACAGGUAUUAUUUCAGUUUGCCACAUGGAUGCCUCAGUUUUAUUUAAUCCCGAUCCACAUAUUCUUAUGUAUAUUCUUACUUUGCUCAUCAUUUGGGGACUACCCGAGGGUGUCUAGCAUUACCUGUGCAUGUGCCAACCCCAGUGGGUGAUUCUGUGGACCACGUGUAUCGGUCCUGUCUUGAUACAAUUAGGGUCUAGAGACCCGAGCUGAUUUGCUGCUAUUGACCAUGGUAGAUUUUGAUGUUAUUCAGGGCAUGGAUUAUCUAUUACCGUUCCAUGCUAUUCUAGACUAUCACGCCAAGACAGUCACGUUGGCUAUGCCGGGUAUACGGAGGAUCAUGUGGCGUGGGACGACUGAUUAUGUGCGCAACAGGGUAAUUUCUUUCUUAAUGGCCUAGCGGAUGGUUGGGGACGGGUGUUUAUCAUAUCUGGAAUUUGUAAGGAAUGUUGGAGCUGAGGCUCCUAGUCUUGAUUCAGUCCCCGUGGUGAGGGAAUUUCCUUAUAUGUUUCCACCAAACCUGCAGGGCAUGCCGCCGCACAGGGAUAUUGACUUCGCUAUUGAUUUGGUGCCGGGCACUCAGCCCAUUUCUAUUCCUCCCUAGUUUAUGGCACCAGCAGAGCUAAAGGAGUUGAAGGAGCAGCUGCAGGAACUCCUAGAUAAGGGGUUCAUUUGUUCGAGUGUGUCGGCGUGGGGCGCACUAGUGUUAUUUGUUAAGAAGAAGGAUGAAACAAUGAGAAUGUGCAUUGAUUACAGACAGUUGAACAAAGUGACAGUAAAGAACAAGUAUCCACUGCCCCGUAUUGAGGAUUCUUUUGACCAGCUUUAGGGAGCAAAGGUAUUCUCCAAGAUUGAUCUACGUUCAGGCUAUCACCAGCUGAAGAUUAGAGAUUCUAAUAUCAUGAAGACAGCUUUCAGGACGAGAUAUGGGCAUUAUGAGUUUCUGGUUAUGUCAUUCGGGCUGACUAAUGCCCUAGCCUCAUUCAUGCACUUGAUCAACAGUGUAUUUAUGUCGUAUCUAGAUUAUUUUGUGAGCGUGUUUAUUGAUGAUAUUCUGGUGUACUCGCGUAGCCAGGAGAAGCACGCGCAGCACUUGAGGGUGGUAUUGUUGAGGUUGAGAGGGGAGAAGCUUUAUGCGAAGUUCUCCAAGUUCUUGCGUAUCCAAGAGGAGCACGCACAUCACUUUAGGGUGGUAUUGCAGUGGUUGAGAGAGGAGAAGCUCUAUGCAAAGUUCUCCAAGUGUAAGUUAUGGCUCAGUUCCGUGACUUUUCUAGGACACGUGGUGUCCAGUGAUGGUAUUCAGGUUGACCCAAAGAAGAUCAAGGCAGUGCAGAGUUUUCCCAGACUGUCCUCAGCUUCUGAGAUUCGGAGUUUCCUCGGGUUGGCGGGUUAUUACCGCAGGUUUUUUCAGGGUUUUUCAUCUAUUGCUUCGCCCUUGACGAAGUUGACAUAGAAGAAUGCACCAUUUGUGUGGUCCGAUGAGUGCGAGGAGAGCUUUCAAAAUCUCAAGUCAUUGUUGACUAUGGCUCCAGUGUUAGUAUUGCCAGCAGCUUCAGGUUCAUAUACGGUAUAUUGCGAUGCUUCGAGGAUUGGUAUUGGAUGUGCUCUGAUGCAGAAAGGUAUAGUGAUUGCAUAUGUUUCCCAGCAGUUGAAGCCCCACGAGAAAAAGUACCAUGUUCAUGCCUUAGAGUUGGCUGCUAUAGUUCAUGCCUUGAAGAUUUGGAGGUACUAUCUAUAUGGAGUAUCUUGUGAAGUGUUCAUUGACCAUCGCAGUCUUCAGCACUUAUUUAUGCAGAAUGAUCUUAAUUUGAGGCAGCGGAGAUGGCUUGAGUAACUCAAGUACUAUGAUAUUAUCAUUUUCUAUCAUGCGGGGAAGGCGAAUGUACCUUCAGCACUUGUUCAAGCAGAAAGAUCUAAAUUUGAGACAGUGGAGAUGGCUUGAUUUACUCAAGGAUUAUGAUGUUACCAUAUUGUAUAAUCCGGGGAAGGCCAAUGUAGUGACCGAUGCUUUGAGCCGGAAAGCGGUGAGUAUGGGUAGCUUGGCAUACAUUCUAGUUGGGGAGAGGCCCCUUGCAGUUGAUGUUCAAGCCUUGGCCAAUCGGAUGGUGAGGCUAGAUAUUUCAAAGCCCAGCUGCGUGUUGGCUUGUGUGGUUUCCGGUCUUCUUUGUAUGAUCGCAUCAAGGAGAGCCAGUAUGAUGACCCACAUUUGCUUGUCCUGAAGGACAGGGUCCAGCAUGAUGAUGCCAGAGAUGUGACUAUCUGUAGUGACCAAGUCUGAGCAUUUCAUUCCAAUGUUUACCACCUAUUCUUCAGAGCGGUUGGCAGAUAUUUUCAUCCGUGAGAUUGUGCGGUUGCAUGGGGUUCCAGUUUCUAUUGUCUCAGACAGGGGUACUCAGUUUCCUUCCCAAAUCUGGAAGACUUUUCAUCGGGAGUAGAGCACUCAGAUUCAGAUGAGCACAUCUUUUCAUCCUCAGACGGACGGACAGUCCGAGCGUACUAUUCAAAUAUUGUAGGACAUGUUGCGUGCUUGUGUCAUUGAUUUUGGAGGUUCUUGGGCUGAGUUCUUGCCAAUGAAGAGUUUGCUUAUAAUAAUACUUAUCAGUCUAGCAUUCAGAUGGCGCCGUAUGAGGCUUUAUAUGGGAGACGGUGUAGGCCUCCAGUCGGUUGGUUUGAGCUAGGCGAGGCUAGACUAUUGGGGACAGAGUUAGUUCAGGAUGCCUUAGAGAAAGUGAAAGUUAUCCAGGAGAGACUUCGUACGGCUCACUCGCGUCAGAAGAGUUAUUCGAUCGGAAGAUUCGGGAUGUAUCUUAUAUGGUGGGCGAGAAGGUUCUAUUGAAGCUCUCGCCUAUGAAAGGCGUGAUGAGGUUUGGAAAGAAAGGGAAGCUGAGGAGGAAUGGGAGGUGGCCUAUAUGCUUGCUUUGCCACCCAGUUUGUCGGGGGUUCACCUGGUGUUCCAUGUUUCCAUUCUCAGAAUGUAUGUUGGGGACCCGUCUUAUGUAUUAAACUAUAGCACGAUCCAGUUGGAUGAGGACUUGACCUAUGAUGUGGAGCCAGUGGCUAUUUUGGGUCGACAGGUUCGAAGGUUGAGAUCAAAAGACAUAGCUUCGGUGAAGGUGCAAUGGAGAGGUAGGCCUAUAGAGGAGGCCACUUGGGAGACCGAGCAGGAGAUGCAGAGCAGAUAUCCUUGUUUGUUCGAGGCUCCAGGUAUGUUUCUUGUCCUGCUCGAGGACGAGCGUUUGUUUUUGUUGGGGAGGAAGUGACAACCCGACCCAUCGUCUUUUGUAUUUCAUCCCUAUUAUCCCCCUUUUAUGCUUCCCCGUGUGUUAAUAUAGGUGUUUGGUGAGUUUGAAGUGUUUUAGGUUGGAUUUGGCUAGAAAUGAGACCAAUAGUCUCUUUAAGGAAAGCUUAAGUUGGAAAAUUCAACCGGAUGUUGACUUGUGAGUUAGAGGGCUCGGAAUGGAUUUUCGAUGAUUCGACUAAUUUCGGCGAAUGAUUUAUGACUUCGGAGCGAAAUCAUAAUUGAAUUUGGAGGUCCGGUGUAGAAUUAGGCUUGAAUUGGCUAAGUUCAAUUUUUGGCGAAUUCCGGUUGAUAGGUGAGAUUUUGAUUUGGGGGUCGGAAUGGAAUUUUGGAUAGUAGCUCCGUUAGGUGAUCUUGGAUAUGUGUGCCAAUUUUCAGAUCAUUUCGAAGUGUCUAGGUCGGGUUAUGGAUCGAAUGCGAAUCUGAAAUAGUUCUAGUUUGACUUACGCUUGAAUUUGAGGGAUUUGGUGAUUUGUGAUGUUAAUGUUAGUGUUUUUAUGGCCCGAGAAAGUUUGAAUGAGGUAUUAGAACAUAUAGGUGCUUUUGGUUGAGGUCCCGAGGGCCUCGAGUGAGUUUCGGGGUAGUUUCGGACAAUUUUUAGGCCAUUUAUAACUGCUGGUUUUUGGCAACAGUAGUGUUCUAUGUGAUCGCGAUCGCGGUGAGUAAAAUGUGAGAAACGUGCCAAUGAAUCGCUAUCGCGUGCAGCCUUUCUGUUGCAUUGAUCCUAUUUCAGAAGCUUGGACCAUUUUUAGGCCAUUUUUAACUGCUGGUUUUUUGCUACAGCAGUGUUCUAUGCGAUCUCGGGGAGUUGGUCGCGAUACCGGUGAGUAAAAUGUGAGAAACGUGCCAAUGAAUCGCGAUCGCGUGCAGCCUUUCGCGAUUGCGUAGAAUGAAACUUUCUAUUGCAUUGAUCCUACUUCGGAAGCUCAUAUCUUUUUUAUCUACAAGGAAUUUUGAGGUGAUUCCAAAAUAAAAGUUGUAGCCCUUCGCGUCUAGUUUCUAGAAAUAUAAAGAAAUCAAAAUUUGGACAUCUGUAGAAAGAGUUGUGGACUUUACACUUUAGGCUUUCCAGGAAGGAUCUCUAAUACACAUGGAUGAAUUUGGAUGCUUAUAUCUCCCAAUGUAUAAGGAUUUAGGAUAUAAGUAACAUAUGAAAGUUAUAUUCCUUUGUGUCUAGUUUCCAUAACAUCAAACCCUUUGUCAUUCGGAGUUGUGUGAAAAAGGUUAUGGCCAUUAUACUGAAGAGUGUCUGGAGGAGCUGGAAUUGCUCUCCGCGAUCGUGAAGCCUUUUCCACGAUCGUGAAGGGUAAAAUCUGGGCUGGAAAAAUUUGCUCUCCAAGAUCGCGAAGCAAAUUCCGCGAUUGCAAUGAAGAAAUACCUGGGCAGAAUGUUUAAAAACACAUCAGUCACAAUUUUGGGGUCAUUUUACACCCAUAGUUGCUCGUUUUUGGAGAUUCUUGAAGGAGACUGAUGAGGGAUUCAAGGGAGAACAUUUGGAGGUAAGUUUCUUGGACUCAAACCUCGUUUUUAUUAUGAAAUUCAUCUAGGAAAUCAUUGAAAUUUUGCUAAAAUGGAGGAAUAGGGCUUGGAAUUUUGAUAUUUUAAAUUUAGGAUUUGAAAGGGGCAUUUGAACUUCGAUUUUGAUGAAAUUUAUAUGUACGGACUUGUGGCGAGACGGGGAAUCCGGUGAUAUGAAUUUCGUAAUUUUUCGAGAAGUGGGACCGGGGCUUGGGUUUUGCCAACUUCGUGUUUUUAGGUGUAUUUCAAGUUAUUUCGAUUGGAUUAUGUUCCAUUAGCCUAUUGUGAUGUAUUCCUAUUGGUUUUGAUCAUAUUUGGCAUCAGCGGAGGUUGAUUCUCGAGGUAAAGGCAUUGCGAGCUAGUUUGCUACCGGCUUGAGGUGAGUAAUGGGUGUAGAUGAUGACCUGAGGUUUGAUACUCUGGUAUAUCACAUUAUGACGCUAUUAUGAGUCUAGGCACACACUCCAUGGUUAGUGCGGGGUCGUAUAUGUUGGAAAUUGUUACUUGGUCCAAUCGGAGGGAUAAAUUGUGCUAUGUUGGCGAAUUCUGUGCAUACUAUAUUGAUGAUAUGGGGGCUUGAUGCCAUGUAUGGGGCCUUGUGCCGACUUGUUGAAUCCUUCAGGGAUUAAUAUAUCAGAGUUAACAUGAUUUGCAUAUUAUUUAAAUUCUGUCCAGGGUUUGUUAACACUAUUUGUGCAAACUCAGCCGUAUUUCUAUGUUUUGAAAACUCAAAUGAUUCCUAAAUGAUAUUUUGGGCUGACGAUCAUUAUUCCACUAUUUUUUUCUGGACUUUGUAUUAUUUCUUGGAAAUGGUGGUAACUAUUGGCACCGUGUUUUGAAAUGGAAAUGGUGGUAACUAUUGGCACCGUGUCUUGAAAUGCAAAUGGUGGUAAAUAUUGGCACCGUGUAUUGUAAUGGAAACAGUGGUAACUAUUGGCACUGUAUGAUAUGGUGCUUGGGCUGUAGGAGCCCCUCCGGAGUCUGAACCCCCAUAGUGAGCGCGGGUACCCAAAUGGAUUAGGCUGAACGUUCCGUAGUGUUCAUGCAUUGCAUUGCAUCUCAUGCAUUUAUUUAACGUAGCUUUAUAUCUAUAUCUCUGAGGCUUGUACUGUAUAGAACUGCUAGAUAGCUUCAUUUUGUGUUAUUUUGUGUNNNNNNNNNNNNNNNNNNNNNNNNNNNNNNNNNNNNNNNNNNNNNNNNNNNNNNNNNNNNNNNNNNNNNNNNNNNNNNNNNNNNNNNNNNNNNNNNNNNNNNNNNNNNNNNNNNNNNNNNNNNNNNNNNNNNNNNNNNNNNNNNNNNNNNNNNNNNNNNNNNNNNNNNNNNNNNNNNNNNNNNNNNNNCAGCCCACAAUCUAGUGUUGCUGCUAUUGCUAUCCGAGCUAUCAGAGUAAUGAGGUAGCUGCCCAGCAUCCGCAUGACCGCUUACUCUGUCUCUUUUAGUCUGUUCCUUUAUAGGUUUUGUCACACAUUUGUAUCAUUUCCUUUCAGACUUGUAUUCAUUAUUGUUAGAGGCUCUGUACUCGUGACUCCAAGGUUUUGGGAGUGUUGUUGGUUCAUUUGUGUUUUCAACCGUAUUGCUUAUCCCUGAUUAGGAGUUUAUGCUUCUAAAAAUUGCUAUAUUACCUUAAAUUUGUAUCUCUUUGGGCUGGAAGGCCGUUCUUUUGAAGUGGUUUGGUCGGGCUUGCUUAGCUUUGCGGUUGGGCGCCAUCACGAACGGGUUUGGAUCGUGACAAGUUGGUAUCAGAGUCUAGGUUUCUACGCCUCACGAGUAAUGAGCCGGUUUAGUAGAGUCUCGCAGAUCGGUACCUAAACAUCUGUAUCAUAUCCUCGAGGGGCUACAGAACUCAUAGGAAACACUUCACUUUCUAGGAAUUCUUAUUAUGCGACUUUGUUGAUUUGAGAACUGAAGCUUCUUAUUCUAUUCUCUCGCAGAUGGCGAGAACCCGUGCUACCAGACGUGGCAGACGACCACCAAUGCCACCUGCUAGAGGCCGUGGACGUGGCCGCAGUCGUGGUCGAGUUGGACCAGCGGAGACAACACAUGCAGACCCACCAGUUGUUCAUAUUCAGAACGAGCCUCCAGAUGUGGAUGUCCCAGCAGCACCUACUCAGGCACCGACAGUGCCCAUUGUGAUACCUGGUCUCUAGGAGAUGUUGGCUCAGAUCUUAUCCGUCUGCACCGGGUUAGCUCAGGUGGUAUCAGCUACCACUACAGCGGCUACUUCUCAGACCGGGGUGGUCAUAGCAGCUCGCACUCCAGAUCAAGGUGCACAGGGUUUGAAGACCGCAAAGGCACCGCCAGUUCAGCUAGUUGCCCUUGUUCAGCCAGUUGUUCCAGUUCAGGGUGAUGGGGUACCAGUGGUGCCAGAUGAUGAGCAGCAUCAUCUGGAGAGGUUUAGCAAGCUUUCACCUUAGACUUUUAGUGGUGUUUCGGGCGAGGAUGCCCAGGGGUUUCUCGACAAGUGUCAACACAUGCUCGGGACAGCAGGUAUCUUGGAGACUAGUUGGGUAUCUUUUACCACUUUUCAGUUCUCACGAGCAGCCUUCACCUGGUGGGAGGCAUAUGAGCGGCGUAGGCCGAAGGGUCAGCACCGUUAUCUUGGCAGGAGUUCUCCGCUAUCUUUUUGGAGAAGUGGGUACCUCAGUCGUAGAAGGAGGAGUUGCGCAGGCAGUUUGAGGUUCUUCGCCAGGGGAUAUGUCUGUGACGCAAUAUGAGAUGCAAUUUGUAGAGUUAGCUCGUUAUGCUCCGGGUUGUCCAAAUGGAUCAGGAGAGGAUUAGACGAUUUGUGGAUGGGCUUAUUUAUCCCAUUUGUAUUCUGAUGAUUCGAGAGAGGGUCCUGAGUCAUACCUUUGAGGAGGCGAUGGAUAUAGCCCACGAUAUUGAGACGGCUCGCCGUUAGGAGAGAGAGGAGUGGGAGGCCAAGAGGCCUCGAGGAUCAGGUGGCUCCAGUGGUGCUCCGUGUAGGAGCCAGUUUCAGCAGAGCAGGGGUCGUUUUUUUAGAGAUCCACAUCCAGCACGGUCUGAGUUCCGUGGUUCAUCUUCUGGUCGGGGUUCUCAGGGCUCUCAGCAGGGUCAGCCGUCUCAGAGCGCACUUCCAGCGCAGGGUUUGUCUUGUGCCCCAUCUUAUUAGGGUUCAUCUCGGCCUAGUUCUUCGGCCAGCUACUCUAGUGCGAGAGGUUCCCUUCAGUCCCCUUCUCUAGUUACAUGCAGUUGUUUCGAACGUGGUGAGUUUGGUCCUUUGAAGACACAUUGUCAUCGACUUUGUGGUGUGAGAUCUCAACUGAGGGACCAGCCCACAUCUUCCGGCCGAGUGUCUUCAGCACCCGCCCAGCCAGCUAGGGGUGAGGGUCAGGCAGUUAGGGGUCGCCCCAGAGAGGGGGCCGAUCUGGUGGUGGUCAGGCCCGUUGCUACGCUCUUCAGGGCAGGUUAGAUGUUGUUGCUUCGGAUGAUAUUAUUACAUGUAUUAUUUCAGUCUUCCACAGGGUUGCCUCAGUUUUAUUUGAUCUCGGAUCCACAUAUUCUUAUGUAUCUUCUUACUUUGCUCAUCAUUUAGGGACUACCCGAGGGUGUCUUUCGUUACCUGUGCAUGUAUCUACCCCGGUGGGUGAUACUCUUAUUGUGGACCACGUGUAUCGAUCAUGUCUGGUUACUAUUGGGUGUCUGGAGACCCGAGUUGACUUGUUGCUAUUGAGCAUGGUAGAUUUUGAUGUUAUUCUGGGCAUGGACUGGCUAUCACCGUGCCAUGCUAUUUUGGACUGUCACACCACUGUGCGCGUGUCUACCGGUGGGUGAUAUAUUAUUGUGGACCACGUGUAUCGGUCCUGUCUUGUUACUAUUGGGGGUCUAGAGACCCGAGCUGACUCUAUGCUAUUGAGCAAGGUAUAUUUUGAUGUUAUUCUAGGCAUGGAUUUCGUAUCACCAUGCCAUGCUAUUCUAGACUGUCACGCCAAGACAGUCACGUUGGCUAUGCCGGGUAUCCUGAGGAUCGUGUGGCGCGGGACGACUGAUUAUGUACCCAGCAGGGUAAUCUCUUUAUUAAAGGCCCAGCGGAUGGUUGGGAAGGGGUUUUUAUCAUAUCUGGCAUUUGUGAGAGAUGUUGGAGCUGAGGCUCCUAGUCUUGAAUCAGUCCCCGUGGUGAGGGAAUUGCCUGAUGUGUUUCCAGUAGCCCUAUCGGGCAUGCCACCGGACAGGGAUAUAGACUUUGGUAUUGAUUUGGUGCCGGGCACUCAGCCCAUUUCUAUUCCUCCCUAUCGUAUGGCACUGGCAGAGCUAAGAGAGUUGCAGGAGCAGCUGCAGGAACUCCUAGAUAAGGAGUUCAUUCGUCCGAGUGUGUCGUCGUGGGGCGCACCAGUGUUAUUUGUUAAAAAGAAGGAUGGCAAUGUGCAUUGAUUACAGACAUUUGAACAAAGUGACAGUAAAGAACAAGUAUCCACUGCGCCAUAUUGAGGAUUUGUUUGACCAGCUUCAUGGAGAAAAGGUAUUCUCCAAGAUUGAUCUCCAUUCAGACUAUCGCCAGCUGAAGAUUAGAGAUUCUGAUAUCAUGAAGACAGAUUUUAGGACGAGAUACGGGCAUUAUGAGUUUCUGGUUAUGGCAUUUGGACUGACUAAUGCCCCAGCAGCAUUCACGCACUUGAUGAAUAGUGUAUUUCGGUCGUAUCUGGAUUCUUUUGUGAUCGUGUUUAAAUAUGAUAUUCUUGUGUACUCGCGUAUCCAAGAGGAGCACGCGCAACACUUGAGGGUGGUAUUUCAGAGGUUGAGAGAGGAGAAGCUGUAUUCAAAGUUCUCCAAGUGUGAGUUCGGGCUCGGUUUCGUGGCUUUUCUGGGACACGUGGUGUCCAGUGAUGGUAUUCAGGUUGACCCAAAGAAGAUAUAGGCGGUGCAGAGUUGGCCCAGACUGUUCUCAGCUUCUGAGAUUCAGAGUUUCCUUGGGUUGGCGGGUUAUUACCGCAGGUUCGUUCAGGUUUUUUCAUCUAUUGCUUUGCCCUUGACGAAGUUGACGCAGAAGAAUGCACCAUUUGUGUGGUCCGAUGAGUGCGAGGAGAGCUUUCAAAAGCUCAAGUCAUUGUUGACUACGUCUCCAGUAUUAGUAUUGCCAGCAGCUUCAGGUUCUUAUACGGUAUAUUGCGAUGCUUUGAGGAUUGGUAUUGGAUGUGUUCUGAUGCAGGAGGGUAGAGUGAUUGCAUAUGCUUCCCGACAAUUGAAUCCCCACGAGAAAAACUUCCAUGUUCAUGACUUAGAGUUGGCUGCUAUAGUUUAUUCCUUGAAGAUUUGGAGGCACUAUCUAUAUGGAGUAUCUUGUGAGGUGUAUACAGAUCAUCGCAACCUUCCACACUUGUUCAAUCAGAAAGAUAUGAAUUUGAGACAGCGGAGAUGGCUUGAGUUACUCAAGGAUUAUGAUAUUACCAUAUUUUCUCAUCCGAGGAAGGCCAAUGUAGUGGCCGAUGCUUUGAGCCGGAAGGCGGUGAGUAUCGGUAGCUUGAAGUACAUUCCAGUUGGGGAGAGGCCUCUUGCAGUUGAUGUUCGGGCCUUGGACAAUCGGAUGGUGAGGCUAGAUAUUUCAGAGCCCAGCCGGGUGUUGGCUUGUGUGGUUUCCCGCUCUUCUUUGUAUGAUCGCAUCAGGGAGCGUCAGUAUGAUGACCCACAUUUGCUUGUCCUGAAAGACAGGGUCCAGCAUGAUGAUGCCACAGAUGUGACUAUUGGUAGUGAUGGUGUGUUGCGGAUGCAGGGAUGGAUUUGCGUGCCCAAUGUGAUGAGCUCCGAGAGAUGAUAUUAGAGAAGGCCCACAACUCGCGGUAUUCCAUUCAUCCGGGUGCCUCCAAGAUGUACGAGAAAUUGAGGCAACAUCAUUGGUGGAGGAGAAUGAAAAAGGACAUUGUGAGUUAUGUGGCUAGGUGUCUCAAUAGUCAGCAUGCCAAGUAUGAACAUCAUAGACCUGGUGGUGUUCUGCAACAGAUGUAUAUUACGGAGUGGAAAUGGGAGAAGAUUACUAUGGACAUUGUGAGUGGUCUCCCUCGUACCUAGAAGUCAAAUAUGAGCAUCGGAGACUCGGUGGUGUGCUUUAGCAGAUGGAUAUUCCGGAGUGGAAAUGGGAGAAGAUUAACAUGGACUUUGUGAGUGGUCUCCCUCGUACCUCGAGGAACUCUGAUUCUAUUUGGGUGGUUGUGGAUAGACUGACCAAGUUUGCGCAUUUCAAUCCGAUGUGUACCACCUAUUAUUCUGAGCGGUUGACAGAGGUUUUCAUCUGUGCGAUUGUGCGGUUGCAUGGGGUUCCAGUUUCUAUUGUCUCAGACAGGGGUACUUAAUUUUCUUCCCAGUUUUGGAAGACUUUUCAUCGGGAGUUGGGCACUCAGAUUCAGAUGAGCACAGCUUUUCAUCCUUAGACGGACGGACAGUCCGAGCGUACCAUUCAGAUAUUGGAGGACAUGUUGCGUGCCUAUGUUAUUGAUUUCGGAGGUUCUUGGGUUGAGUUCUUGCCUCUUGCAGAGUUUGCUUAUAACAAUAGUUAUCAGUCCAACAUUCAGAUGGCGCCGUAUGAGGCUUUAUAUGGGAGACGGUGUAGGUCUCAAGUCGGUUGGUUUGAGCUCGGCGAUGCUAGACUAUUGGGCAUACAGUUAGUUCAGGAUGCCUUAGAGAAAGUGAAAGUUAUCCAGGAGAGACUUCGUACGCCUCAGUCGCGUCAGAAGUGUUAUGCUGACCGGAAGGUUCAGGAUGUAUCUUAUAUGGUGGGCGAGAAGGUUUUAUUGAAGCUCUCGCCUAUAAAAGGUGUGAUGAGGUUUGGAAAGAAAGGGAAGCUGAGUCCGCGGUGUAUUUGACCUUUUGAGAUACUCAGGAGGAUUGGGGAGGUGGCCUAUAUGCUUGCUUUGCCACCCAGUUUGUCGGUGGUUCACCCGGUGUUCCAUGUUUCCAUGCUCAGGAAGUAUGUUGGGGACCCGUCUCAUUAUUAGACUACAACACGAUCCAGUUGGAUGAGGACUUGACCUAUGAUGUGGAGCCAGUGGCUAUGUUUUUAUGCUCAAAAAAUAUGCUGGGGACCCUUCACAUGUAUUUGACUUCAGCACAAUCCAGUUGCGUGAGGACUUGACCUAUGAUGUGGAGCCAAUGGCUAUUUUGGGUCGACAUAUUUGCAGGUUGAGAUCAAAAGACAUAGCUUCGGUGAAGGUGUAAUGGAGAGGUCGGCCCGUGGAGGAGGCCACUUGGGAGACCGAGAAGGAGAUGCGGAGCAGAUAUCCUCGUUUGUUUGAGGCUCCAGGUAUGUUUCUUAACCCGCUCGAGGACGAGCAUUUGUUUUAGUUGGGGAGGAUGUGACGACCCAACCCGUUGUCACGAGAGUUACCACCCCAUUUUUCCUGUUUUAUGCUUUUAUAUGUUUCAUUAUAUGUGUUUGUAGAGUUUGAGUUUGUUUUAAAUGUGGAGGAUGUGAUGACCCGACCCCUCGUCUUUUGUAUUUCAGCACUGUUAUCCCUAUUUUAUGCUUCCCCAUGUGUUGAUAUAGGUGUUUGGUGAAUUUGAAGUGUGUUAGGUUGGAUUUAGUUAGAAAUGAGACCAAUAGUCUCUUUAAGGAAAUCUUUGGUUGGAAAAGUCAACCGGACGUUGACUUGUGAGUUAGAGGGCUCGGAAUGGAUUUUCGAUGAUUCGACUAGUUUCGGGGAAUGAUUUAUGACUUCGGAACGAAAUCGAAAUUAAAUUUGGAGAUUCGGCGUAGAAUUAGGCUUGAAUUGGCUAAGUUCAAAUUUUGGCAAAUUCUGGUUGAUAGGUGAGAUUUUGAUCCGAGGGUCGGAAUGGAAUUCCGACAGUUGUAGUAGCUCCGUUAGGUGAUUUUGGAUAUGUGUGCAAAUUUUCUGAUCAUUCGGAAGUGUCUAGGUCGUGUUUUGGAUCAAAUGCAAAUUUGAAAAAGUUUUAGUAUGACUUAGGCUUGACUUUGAGGAAUUUGGUGAUUUUUGAUGUUAAUGUUAGUGUUUUUAUGGCCCGAGCAAGUUUGAAUGAGGUUGUAGAACAUAUAUGUGCUUUUAGUUGAGGUCCCAAGGGCCUCGAGUGAGUUUCGGGGUGGUUUCGGAUAAUUUUUAGGCCAUUUUUAACAGAUGGUUUUUGGCUACAGCAGUGUUCUAAGCGAUCGCGGGGAAUAGGUCGCGAUCGCCGUGAGUAAAAUGUGAGAAACGUGCCAAUGAAUCGCGAUCGCGUGCAGCCUUUCGCGAUCGCAAAGCAGGAAACUUUCUAUUGCAUUGAUCCUAAUUAGGAAGCUCAUAUCUUUUUAUCUACAAGGAAUUUUGAGGUGAUUCCAACAUGAAAGGUAGAACUUCGCGUCUAGUUUCUGGAAACAUAAAAAAAUAAUAAUUUGGACAUCUGUAGAAAACGUUAUGGACUUUACACUAUAGGCUGUCUGGGAAGGAUCUCUAAUACACAUGGAUGCAUUUGGAAGCUUAUAUCUCCCAAUGUAUAAGGAUUCAGGAAAUGAGUAACAUAUGAAAGUUAUAGCCCUUUGUGUUUAGUUUCCAUAAAAUUAAACUAUUUAUCAAUUGAAGUUAGGGGUGUUCAAAACCGAUCCAAAACCGAAAACCGAUCCGAAACUGAAGCUUAAUGGCUUAGUGGUAACGGCUUAACGGCUUAACGGACGGGGAACGGAUUAAAAUAUUUUUAUUAACGGCUUAUCGGAUUGGGGGCGCAUUAUUCAAUUUUCUUAACGGGUAAUCCGUUAACCCGUUAAGAAUAUAUAUAUAUAUAUUAAAUAUAAAAAACUAAAAACCUUAAAAAUGAAUAAGUAUAAGUGUAUAAUAAAAAUACCAAAUACCAAAUUACUAUACAGUAGGUUCUCUAAAGGUAGAGGUUCUUUCAGUCACUUUGUUAUCCCUACCUGACCUGAUGCAAGUGUAACNNNNNNNNNNNNNNNNNNNNNNNNNNNNNNNNNNNNNNNNNNNNNNNNNNNNNNNNNNNNNNNNNNNNNNNNNNNNNNNNNNNNNNNNNNNNNNNNNNNNNNNNNNNNNNNNNNNNNNNNNNNNNNNNNNNNNNNNNNNNNNNNNNNNNNNNNNNNNNNNNNNNNNNNNNNNNNNNNNNNNNNNNNNNNNNNNNNNNNNNNNNNNNNNNNNNNNNNNNNNNNNNNNNNNNNNNNNNNNNNNNNNNNNNNNNNNNNNNNNNNNNNNNNNNNNNNNNNNNNNNNNNNNNNNNNNNNNNNNNNNNNNNNNNNNNNNNNNNNNNNNNNNNNNNNNNNNNNNNNNNNNNNNNNNNNNNNNNNNNNNNNNNNNNNNNNNNNNNNNNNNNNNNNNNNNNNNNNNNNNNNNNNNNNNNNNNNNNNNNNNNNNNNNNNNNNNNNNNNNNNNNNNNNNNNNNNNNNNNNNNNNNNNNNNNNNNNNNNNNNNNNNNNNNNNNNNNNNNNNNNNNNNNNNNNNNNNNNNNNNNNNNNNNNNNNNNNNNNNNNNNNNNNNNNNAUUUCCUUUCAGACUUAUAUAUUUAAAAGCCGAUAACCGAUAAGCAAAACCGUUAGAGUAAAAAGCCGCCCAAUCCGCCCAAUGAACACCCCUAAUUGAAGUUGUGUGCAGAAAGUUAUGACUAUUAUACUGAAGUUUGUCCGGAAAAGCUGGAAUUUGUCUCUGCGAUCGCGAAGCCUUUUCCGUGAUCGCGAUGAAGAAAUACCUGGGAAGAAUGUUUUAAAACACAUCAGUCGCAAUUUUGGGGUCAUUUUACACCCAUAGUUGCUCGUUUUUGGAGAUUCUUGAAGGAGACUGACGAGGGAUUCAAGGAGGAACAUUUGGAGGUAACUGUUUUGGACUUAAACCUCGUUUUUAUUGUGAAAUUCAUCCAGGAAAUCAUUGAAUUUUUGCUAAAAUGGAGGAAUAGGGCUGCGAGGGAUUCAAGGGGAACAUUUGGAGGUAAGUUUCUUGGACUCAAAACUUAUUUUUAUUGUGAAAUUCAUCUAGGAAAUUAUUGAAUUUUUGCUAAAAUGGAGGAAUAGGGCUUGGAAUUUUGAGAUUUUAAUUUUAGGAUUUGAAAGGACCAUUUGAACUCUGAUUUUGAUGAACUUUAUAUGUACGGACUCGUGGCGAGACAAGGAAUCCGGUGAUAUCAAUUUUGUAAUUUUUCGAGAAGUGUGCUCGGGGCUAGGGUUCUUCCAACUUCAUGUUUUUGGGUGUAUUUCGAGUUAUUUCGAUUGGGUUAUAUUCCAUUCGCAUAUUGUGACGUAUUCCUAUUGGUUUUGAUCAGAUUUGGCAUCCGCGGAGGUUGAUUCUCGAGGGAAAGGCAUUGCGAGCUAGUUUGCUGUCGGCUUGAGGUGAGUAAUGGGUGUAGAUGAUGACCCGAGGAUUUGAAACCCUGGUAUAUCACAUUAUGACGCUAUUAAGAGGCUAGACACGCGCUUCAUGGUUAGUGCUGGGUCGUAUAUGUUGGAAAUUGUGACUUGGUCCAAUCCGAUGGAUAAAUUGUGCUAUGUUGGCGAUUGGUUCGCAUACUAUAUUGAUGAUAUCGGGGUUUGAUACCAUGUUUGGGGCCUUGUGCCUACUUGUAGAAUCCUUCAGAGAUUGAUAUAUCACAGUUAGCAUGAUUUGCAUAUAUUUAAAUUCAGUCCAGGGUUUUUAAACACUAUUUUUGCAAACUCAGCUGUAUUUCUAUGUUUUGAAAACUCAAAUGAUUCCUAAAUGAUAUUUCGGGCUGACGAUUAUUAUCCCACUAUUUUUUUAUGGAGUGUAUAUUGUUUCUUGGAAGCGGUGGUAAGUAUUGGCACCAUAUUUUGAAAUGUAAACGGUAGUAACUAUUGGUACCGUGUAUCGUAACGGAAACAGUGUUAACUAUUGGCACUGUAUGAUAUGCCACUUGGGCUGUAGGAGCCCCUCCGGAGUCUGAACCCCCACAGUGAGCGCGAGUACCCAAAUGCAUCGGGCUGCACAUUCCGCAGUGUUCAUGCAUUGCAUUGCAUCCUAUGCAUUUAUUUACCGUUUCUUUAUCUGUAUAUCUCUGAGGUUUCUACUAUAUAGAACUGCUAGAUAGCUUCAUUUUGUGUUAUUUCGUGUUUUCUUAUCUUUGGGUUUUUAUNNNNNNNNNNNNNNNNNNNNNNNNNNNNNNNNNNNNNNNNUAUUUUGUGAUUUCUUAUCUUCGGGUUUAUAUACAUGCUUAUUAGUCGCUGAGUUGGUAGACUCACCCCAUACUCCCUGCAUCUUGUGUGCAGAUCCAGGUGCUCCAGAGAUCUAGUGAUGUUGUUGUUGCUAUCCGAGCUAUCAGAGUAUUGAGGUAGCUGCCCAGCGUCCGCAGGACCGCUUACUCUGUCUCUUUUAGUCUAUUCCUUUAUAGUUUUUGUCAGCCAUUUGUAUCAUUUCCUUUCAGACUUAUAUUCAGUGAGGCUCUGUACUCAUGACUCCAAGGUUUUGGGAGAGUUUUUGGCUCAUCUGUGUUUUCAACCGUAUUGCUUAUCCCUGGCUAGGAGUUUAUGUUUCUAAAAAUUGCUGUUUUACCUAAAGUUUGUAUCUCUUUGGGCUGGAAGGCUGUUCUUUUGAAGUGGUUUGGUCGGGCUUGCCUAACCUUGCGGCCGGGCGCCAUCACGACCGGGUUUGGGUCGUGACAAUAUAUACAUAUAUAUAUAUAUGUACAUAUAUAUAUAUAUAUAUAUAUAUAUACAUACACACAUAUAUAUAUAUACAUAUGUAUAUAUACAUAUACAUAUAUAUAUAUAUAUAUACAUAUACAUAUAUAUAUAUAUACAUAUAUAUAUAUAUAUAUAUAUACCUACAUAUAUAUAUAUAUAUACCUACAUAUAUAUAUAUACAUACAUAUAUAUAUAUAUAUGUAUAUAAGCUCUAGACCCUGAAACUCCGAAAGACAUGAAGCUUACCGAUCAAGAUGAACUCGGGUAACACUUAUUGGAGAGGCCUACUCGUCUGUCUGUCUGACCUGCACGCAUGAAAUGCAACAUCCCCAGAAAAGGGACGUCAGUACGAGAUAAUGUACUGAGUAUGUAAGGCAAUAUACUCAAAGCUGAAACUGAAGUGAUAAUAUAAUAAUUGCAAGUAGCUGGAAGUCAAAGAUAAUAUGAAGAAAUGCUUACCUGCUGAUACUGACUCAAUUAUCUUAUUAUAAUAAGUAAAAUAGUUGUCCGGCCUUAUAAGGCUCGGUACACAUAUUGUUGAUACCCAAUUUGUUCAAAUAUAUUUUUAUACUCAACAUAUUCUCAAAAAUAGCAUAUGUAAGCAUCCACAAAGGUUUUGGUAUUUUUUCACAUUUUCAAGGAUUUUAAAAUCAAUUUGCACUACAAAAUCCAUUAAUUAUUCCCAAAAUUUGUUAUUUUGGUAAAUGAUUUAUUUAUUCUCUCAUUUAAACAAAAAUAUAAUUUACAUGAUUUUUACAUAAUUUUUACAAGUUCAUUUGGUAUUUCUUAACUAAAAUUGCAUGAAAUUGUAAUUUUAGCCUACUUUUCGAUUUAAUAGCAUUUUUAAUUAUAAAAUCGUUUCUAACAUUUUUAAACUAAUACUUUUACAUUUUUUAUUAACUCAAUAUUAUUAACUUGAUUUUUAAACAUCAUUUACUACAACAACAACAACUAUCCAGUAUAGUCCCACAAGAUGGGGUUUGGGGAGGGUAAUAUGUGGACAAGCCUUACCCCUACUCGAAAGGGCAAAGAGACUGUUUCCAAUCGACCCUCGGCUCAGGGAAGGAAAGGAAAACAAAAACAAAAACAAAAGAGCAUUAGUAACUCCAACAGAAAUAGCGUAAAUAGUUUUUUAAACAUAAGAACCAUUAAUAAAAUGUCAUGCAAUAAUAUCAAACAGUAACUACCAUAAGCGGGAAAUCGGCUAUUUAAAUUAUGGCCCCCUUUUAAUUUUAACUCUAGCCAAAUUCCAGCCCCCAAUCUAACCCCAAUUACCCUACCUAAUUUAUUAAAUAACCCGACCCACACCCCAUUAAAAUAACCCGCCCCAGUCCCUCUUUUAAAUCGCAGUCGUUGAUCAUUUAGAUCAACGGCCCACGUUAACCCUUCCCUUAAUUAAACCCAAUACACCCCUAACCCUAAUCAUUUUUACACAUCCAGCCUCCCUUGUAUCCCCUUUGUUCCCAAAACGCUCUCAAUCCCCCUGAAUCCCUAGCCCGCCUCCAACCACUUUUCGACCUUGUUUCACCGAAAAAUAUGGCUUUCAAGGUUUCAUGCAACCUAUACUCACCCCUUGUAUCCCCUUCGUUCCCAAAAACGCUCUCAACCCCCCAGAAACCCUAGCCCUUCUCCGACAACCCUCCGGCCUUAUUUCACCGGAAAAUAUGGCUUUCCAGGCCUCAUCCAAUCUGUACUCACCCCUCACUCCCUUCUACGACCCCUUUUUUCAAAGGUCAAAGCCCUAUCUCGAAGACCACCGACUCGGAGGUCCUCCGACUUGAGUUCUACGGCUACGUCCGGUCUCUCUCCGAUGAGUCUUAAUGUUGUGAGUUCGUUGUCGACUCAAAACCCAUCCAUUCCAGGCUUUCUCGUUCUCUAGGUUUCUCGCUGAAAUCCUAAAUCUUCAAGGUUUUCUUCUGUGUUUAUCUUUACGAUCUACUUCAGAUCUACGUUAUUUUCCAAAGUUUCAAAGUAUUUUCCACAUUUUUUCACCGACUUUGUUUUCAAACUGUUCAUCUUCCUAAAAUUCAUGGUUUCUCCGAUUUCUCUAUUUUAUUUGCUCUACUGUUAUUUCUUUUACUUUUGCUAUGAUUCUUGAGUAUCCUCUACUAUGGUUUUUACUAUGGUGUUUCUAGGGUUUCCGAGUAAAUCCUUAACUGUGUUCUCUGCAUUGUUUUGAGGUGACUUUUCAACUAAGCCACAUAGAGUGCUUGUUAACCACUCUUCUAGUAGUUUCCUGACCUCUGGGGGUGCUUUUUAGUUGCGAAUGUAGAAGCGCCUUUUUCCCGCAAGAUCGUUAGAUCUUCGGGUAGUAGAGGUGGGAAUUCUCCGCUUGUGGUGGUGCUAGGGGUUGCAAUCAAAACCCCCUCUUCACCGGCUUUGUUGAGAGGACCGAUGAGAUUGGUUGCAACAUUUGCUAUUAUUUUCAUUCUAACGUUGUUGUCAGCCAUUUUUUGUUUUUCUGUUGUAGAGAACGGGUUUCAAUGAUUCUCUUAGUGCAAACUAUGAUUUUGAUUCUCGAAAUCCCCACAGACUACGCCGAAUUGUUUAGUUCAUAAAUUAUACUCGUACUUAUUAAGCUUAAAAACAAAAGAAAAUAUAUAAGGGUGAAUCGUAAUCAAGUAUAAUAAGCCUAAGAGAUGAUUAUCGCUCCAAAAAUAUUAGUAGAUCUGAAAGUAUGUAGAAAAUGGACUUAGCUUAAGAGAGAAGCAAUGGUUGAAAAACCAAGAAAGAGAUAGAGAGAGAAGUUGUAUUAUUCGAUAAUAACAAUGAUCCCUAUUACAAUGUGAAGGUCUCCUUUAUGUAGUAGGAGACCUUCCUCGAAAAAACCUAGCUAGUCCUCUUGCACAUUGUAUAUAUUCUUGUAUUCUGUUUUAUUUCUUGAACCAAGUCUUUUUCCCUUUAUUGCUCAUGGGAAUAUUGAGACUCUGUUUUAAGUGUAAAGUUGAGAUCUUAAGAUUCCGCGCGCUCAAAUUUCAAUUUUGAAACAACAUUUAUGUUGUAGUUACUCUCUGAUAAGCUUGUCAUACUUCAAAAUUGAUUCUAAUUUCAAUUUUGAAGCAACAUUUAUGUUGUAGUUACUCUCUGAUAAGCUUGUCAUACUUCAAAAUUGAUUCAUUAAAAACUUAUGGAUCUGAUCAUCCUACAUCGGUAAUCGUACACUCACUGCUUUACUUUCAAAAAGAAAACAAGAAAAGAAAAAAGAAGGAUUGUUUUGACCUUUUCUACGAGCGAAAAAGCUGUUUCUCAUAACCAAAAAUAUUCUUUCAAAACCAUGCUGUUAUUAAGUAUGUUGCUCGGUGGGCCAUGCCCGGGCCUAAAUGUGCUUAAUGGGCGGGGCUUUGUGGCCUGGACUCUAGCGGUCCCAGGCUUCAUGGGCUCAAUGGGUGAGACCACCCCGUGACGGUCUAAGCCCAUAUGAUCCUGGGCUUAGCGGACCUAGCGGGUUUUUUUUAUUAUUUUUUGUUUAAGACAAUAUCUUGUAUACUAGUUAUUAGUAUAGUGUAUAUGUAUGUAUAUAUAUAUAUAUAUAUAUAUAGAGAGAGAAUACUAGUAUAGAAUGUAUGUACUUAUUUAUAUAUAUUUCAUUGUAUAUUGUCUUGUAGUAUAUAUUGUAUGUUAUGUAUAUAUAUAUUUUCUUGUAGUAUAUAUUGUAUAUUAUGUAUAUAUAUUAUAACUUAUAUAUUUUUUGUAGUAUAUAUAUAUUGCAAAUAUUCAAGGGUAUGUCUUAUUAUUUUUAUUACCAAAAAUGGCAUUUCUUUCUUAGUCUUCCUUCCCCCAAUGUAAUGAGUACAACAAGCUACUAAUACCACCAUUAAAAGGAAAAAAAAAUUAAAAGAAGAUGUACCAAAGUACAAGUUACGCCAUAAUCUACAUUGUAUCUCUAACAAUCUCAUAAAUUCUUUAAGGUUCGGAGGAGGUUGCGUUGGUGGUGGUGGAAAAGAAGCUUGUUCAUCACCACAUACGGGCGAAGCCGAAUCCUCCGCAAGUUCCGCUAUCAUUCCUUCAUAAGCUUCAUCUAUCGUCGGUUGUGAUUCUGCAAUUCCAAAGUUUCUUCUUUUCGAGCGGAUCCAAUCUCUAAAUAGUAUUGAUUUUUCCAAGCUAUCCCUCGUAGACGCUCUAUGAUCACCUAUUUGCAGUCUUGCUUGACUGAAAGCGCUCUCUGAUGCAACAGUUGAAGCUUGAAUUGAUAAAAUAUCCCGAGUCAUCCUUGCAAGAACCGGCAAAUAUUUUUCCCUUGCCUUCCACUAUUCCAAAAUAUCAAAAGAGCUGUCUGGAUUCUCCUUUUCAAGCCUCUGAGACAAAUAAACUUGAAGCUCAUUUAGAUGUGAAGUUUCAUCAUAAUUAUCACCUUGAGAACCCCUGAACUCCGUCCAAGAUUUAAGAGCUUUUAAGCCCGCAACUCUUUUAGACGAUUGUGAGCUAGAAGAAGUAGGGGUUGGAAUAUUUGACCUAGCAUACUCUAAGGUAAGUUGAUAAGCAUUAUAAACUGUUUGAGCAUUAAUUUUAAUUGAGGCUUUUGCAUCUGCAAGUGUAGCAACUUCCUCAUUUGAAAGAUCUAAAGCCUUAUAAAUAUUUGAACAACAAAAAUAGGACCUCUCAAUUUCAUUAUAGGAUUUAACAUUCCAGCAACACCAUAAAUAGGAGGGUGGAAAAAAUAUUUUUUAAAUUUUUGUUUCAUUUUAUUUAUAGCAAGUUCAUAAAUGUCCCUACCCUCACCAAAUUCAACAAACAAAUCAGAUAAUGCUGUAAUAUAAACUAAAUAGUUAUAAAUAAUAGGAUAAUAUUGCCCAGAAAAUGUAUUGUAGCAACUUGAAAAUGUUCUAAAAAAUCUAAAAGAAUUUUAACAUUCGUCCAAUCUUGAGNNNNNNNNNNNNNNNNNNNNNNNNNNNNNNNNNNNNNNNNNNNNNNNNNNNNNNNNNNNNNNNNNNNNNNNNNNNNNNNNNNNNNNNNNNNNNNNNNNNNNNNNNNNNNNNNNNNNNNNNNNNNNNNNNNNNNNNNNNNNNNNNNNNNNNNNNNNNNUUCGUACAUACAAUUCCAUCUAGUCGGGCAAGGUUUAGGAACCUUUCUUUCUCUAAGGCCAUAUUCAUCACAUUUUUUUAAAAUACUCUCUAAGUCUACUUCUACGGUUUGAAUAAAAAAAGCCAAUUAAGAGCCAUUCUAACCUUUUCAAUUUCUAUGGUUAAAAUUCGCAUACCAUCACCGACAAUUAAAUGAUAAAUAUGACAAAUACAUCUAACAUGGAAAAUAUUAAUAAAAGCAGGAUUAAGUGUUCUUGUUAGCAUACCUAUUGCACUACUGUUGCUAGAAGCGUUAUCCAUAGAAAUUGACAUUAUUUUAUCACUAAAACAAAAAUAUAUGCAUAUAUCUGAAACAGUGUUAGCUAUAAACCUACCCGUGUGCCGUGAAUUAAUUAUCCUAUAUGUAAUUAUGCAUUUUUGCAUUGUCCAGUCUUCGUCUAUCCAAUGACUUGUUACGGUUAGAUAAUCACAAUCAUUGCCACUUCUACCAAUAUCAGUAGUAAUAGAAAUCUGAUUAGGUAUAUGAGUAAAUAAAUACCGCAAAUAUUGUUCAUAUUCAUGUUUGAAUUUAUAAAUACCGCUUUUAACUGUUGCGCGAGGUCAACCUUUAUAAGUAGGAUUAAAAACUCUUCAAAUAUAAUGAACCCAAUUACGAUUAGAAGCAAAAGUAUAAGGUAAGCACAUAACAGUAAUCAUCUUUGCUAAUUCUUCACGAUCUUUAUUUGGACGUAAUAUAAAAUACCACCGGUGAGAGUGUUAAUUCCUCGUUGAACUAGAUUUGAACCUGUACUAGGGUUAACCGCAGAAUCUACACUUGUCCCCUCUAGAUCCUCCGGUGAGAGUGUUAAUUCCUGGUUGAACUAGAUUUGAACCUGUACUAGGGUUAACCGCAGAAUCUACACUUGUCCCCUCUAGAUGCGCUUGCAUUUGUAAAAAUCUAGCCUUAUCUCUAGGGUGUGUUUUUAUGUGCCUAGUCAAACUACUCGUGCCGCUACGGUCUCCAGCAUAUUUAUUUGCCAUUAAUUUCCCACAAGUUUUACGCUUAGCCUUAUUUUGUUCUCUUACUUGAGUAAAACAAUUCCAAACUAAUGAUGUUUUUUUAAGUUUAGCAGGUUGUCUAUUAAAAGUAUGAGUUUGUACAUGUGGGUCGGCUGGUGCAUUAGUUGGGUUAUUAACAGGAGUAGUAGGUGUAUCAUCUAAAUCUGUUGCUUGUGUUUCAUCAUCAUCUUCAUUUUCCUUAUUAUUUUCUAAGAUAUGUUCAUUAAGAUAAAGAGCAUUCAUAAUUUCAUCAUCUAAUCUAUCACCUGGUGCAACAUUAUGGCAAAAUUGACAGUUAGAAAUAAUAAAGGACACCAAUUACCUGAACGUCAAGUUGCUUAGCCAGUGGUACAGUCUUUUUCAGGACUUCCUCUUGCAAGCGUGGAUCAGUAUCAUCAUAAGCUCGGACAAGCAUGGGCAGGACAUGUGAGAUUAAGUGGUCCUGACUAGCCUACAGAUGAGAAGAUGCUAUAAGCAAGGGUGUUCACUAUCAAGAAUUACAGGAGGAGAAGAACGUCUAGGUUGGUGACUACUUUCAACAUGCUUAUCUUUUUUAGGCCGGGGAGCCGGGGGAAGGAUAGUAUUAUAGCCACUACUUUCACCGGUUUUAUCUUUUCCUUUACCAAAUAUUUUUUCAACGAAAAUGUCAUAUUGAUUAUAAUUAUGCAAACUAAGACACACAAAAAUAUAUUUAAAACUUAAGAGUUGAAACGAGUUUACCGGAUUGUCGAACAACUUCUUGAAAAUUGAAAAUCGUUGAAGACUUGAAGACUUCAAUUCAACAACUUCACAAUUUUUCACAAAUUUUCAACAAUAAAUUAAGCAAUUGUAGUAGAGAGAUUGAGACAGAUUGAGAGGUAUUGGUGAAUUGGACGGUAAAAAUGAAAGAAUGAGGCGUAUUUAUAGUUGAGAAAUGAGAAAAAGUGUAAUUAUAUAAAAUUUGGGGUUAAACUAAAGUUUGGGAGCCAAAUGACCAUUUUUUAAACCUCCAAAGGGUCAAAUUGUAGCCCAAACGGCUACUUUUUAAAAUCUGUCCGUUGGAGUUUUUAAAACAAAAAUUAGAAAAUAGUCAUUGGGCCCGUUAGACCCGACAGACGGUUGUGCACCGCCCACAAUAUUUUGCAUUCCCGCUAAAAAUGGUCCCAUGCAUAAGCGGUUUUCCUCGUACAUAUCUGAUGCAUGCAUAUAACUGCAGAGUUUCGUCCUCUAUCGUAUCUACUGAAUGAUAGGCUUACUCGCUAUAUCGAUCAAAUAUCACAAAACCACGAGUUACUACGCCUCCCAUGUCAUACUCCCACUUCUGCAAAAAGUUGUCCAGAAUAAUGCAAAGGCCUUUUAACAGAGUAAAUUUUAAACGCUAGCUAAACUGAUGAGAAGAAUACAUCAUCAAGUAAGGCUCAUAUACGAGGAAAGUCAAUUUCACAAGAAAAAGACUGAACUCUGCCUUCUAUUUCAUUAUUUCGUAUACCCAUCGUUGAGAGCCAAUUGCUUUUACAAAUACAAUUAACACGAGGCAACCCUUGUUCAACAAAUUAUAUGAAUAUUUUUUAAGAAUAAAAAUGCCAAUCAAGGAAAACAAAAACUCAGCCAAACUAUCCUACAAAAAGAGUCACUUUACAACAAUCUUCUACCCAGGCAAAUAUUGCCAUGCAGCAUAAUAUGAACAGGUUUCUCCAUAGCAUUGCUGGCAAAAAUCUUUAAUCACGUGGGAUGAACAGCUCCCCAGAUUGAUCUGAAUCAAAUCGUCCGAACUCGUUUCACAAAGGGACUACAUGCUAGCAUCUACAGCAAAUCCAAUAGAGGGGGCUGCUCUGAGUGGGACUUUGCAUUACUAGACCCUGAUGUUGAGGACCUCUGUUGGCCUUGAUUUCCCCGUCCUCUUCCCCUUCCUCUACCAACAGCAGUUGAUGGAGGUGGAGCGAGCCUUGGUGCAGUCUGCUCACCCUUGUUUGAGGAAAAAAUUGAUCCAAUAUCGUUGGCUCGACCACUAGAAGCAUUCAUAACUGAUGGCCCUUGACUUUGUUUCAUAAAUCCAAGAGAAUUCUGUGGGUUAAAACCCACACUAGUGAGACUAUCAGCGUGCGAUGCAGUUCCUUGAUUCUGUUUCAAGGGCUGAGAAGAAAUUGGGGUGCUGAAAGCCCAAGAAUCAAGGCCAUUUGUUUGAGAGUUUAAACCAUUCAGAAGAGAUGCACUAUUGGCAGACACGGGUCUGUUUGCGAAUGGGGCCACUGAUCCAUUGUUCAAAGAGUGAGAAGCAGCCGAGGAGCCACUUGGCCGGGGAGGCCAGUUAGCAAAAGGAUCAAUAUCAUCGAGAGUUGAACCCAAUGCCCCCUUAUUUUCUGGUUGUUUCUCAGAAUUCCCAAGGAUGGUAGUACCAAGUGAUGAAGAUCUAGGAGGCCAUUCCACAUCAACUGCAGGACAUGAAGAUGAAAGUUGCUGGUUAGAUAGAGCAGAUGUCAUGGACGAUUGUGAAUGUCCGGAAUUAACUUGGAUCGGCUGAUCUGCAGUAGUAGACUGAGCAGGCAAUGUUGUAGGAGACUGGAUGGUGGUUGAAGGUCCCCUUGCAGGAACCCAGUCUUCGUCCCAUGAUGGGCUGCAUUUUGUAAUAUGCUGAGAAUUUGCACUUGUUUUAUUCACUUGUCUUUGUUAGGCAAUGUUGUAGAAGACUGGAUGGUGGUUGAAGGUCCCCUUGCAGGAACCCAGUCUUCGUCCCAUGAUGGGCUGCAUUUUGUAAUAUGCUGAGAAUUUGCACUUGUUUUAUUCACUUGUCUGGGCAUCUGACUGUCAACUGUUGGAGAUGAUUUUAUAUUUACUGCUGGAUUU